rnacentral:lncRNA from 1 species
AUGGACAUUCCUUUGCCCAUAUGUGCUAGGAACCUCUUAGCAAAGUUUGCCGUGCACAGUUUCAGGCAGGAUUGGUUGAUGAGGAACUGAACUUGGAGGUUUUAUCUCAUCUUUGCUGUUGGAUAGAAUGCGGUUAUGGAAAUUACAAGUUGAUAGUAUUAUCCUUGCUCCUUCCUGGAUUACAAUUUCACCUUUUAUAAGGAGAAAACGAGGGAUGAUGUCAAACAUGAGGUCAGUCAAGGGAUGGUUACUCGGGAAUACCAACCAGUUCUGGAAAACCGGAUGAAGUGUACUUACAUACAGUGGCACCAUUUAUUAUUAUACCUUUUUUUUCAUUUUUAGACAGUCAAGCAGUUAUGCUGCAAUUUGGGCUUAUCUGAUUCUAGGAAGAUGUUAUAUAGGAAAAACAAACCUCAUUUUUUUCUUGUACCUAUCUCAUAAAUUGCUGCCCAGUUUGGUGCCAAUUGUUAUCUGUGUAAUUAUCAAUUCAUAUUUUUUGGUAGACAAUUGGCGAACCUAAUUUGCAUGUCUGCAUAAAUAUUUCGUGAGGAUGGGUCACUGCGUUAUGCCAUUUUUUUCCCUCGUCUUGAAAAUGUAAUUCAGUUAAUUUGAUUAAAGCAACAAGCUGUGCAUGAGAGAAAAACGAAAGCAAAUAAAGAAGUGUUCUUAUAGAGAAAUAUUAAGUCAAUGUUUUUACAGCAAGUAUACUGCUAUCUCAGUGAGAUUAGUUCUUAAGAGAGUGUAUUUGAGAUAUAUGUAGGCUUAAUACUCUAUAACACUAAGCUUCAUAGUUUUAAAGAGCCUACAUUUAAUUGAGGUCUUCAAUUAGAAUUUGAUCACCGGAUUUUGACCGGCUCAACAAUUUCUCAAAGCUCCAUCAUUCAAUUCUUUUAUACUAUAAAUUAUGCUCUCAAAUUUGUAUGGCUUCAAAUUGGGUCAUCUAAUUUUGACCAGGUCAACAAUUUUUUAAGCUCUCCCAUUCAAUUCUAUUAGUUCAUUAUGUUCCUAACAUUUAAAGCUCUUUCAUUCAAUCGAGAUAUUCAAUUUUGAUUUGGUUUACAUUUUUUAUUGGGCCAAGGAUUUUUUAAAUCAAUCAACAGCAAACAACCUAUAAAAACAUAUCAAUCCCACGCACCCUCCUACAACCUAGAAAAAAUAAGCGCCACCAUGUGAUAUUGUAGCAUCAAUAUAAUACAUGCAACAACCAACACGAAAAUUUCCCCAGUUUAAUAUAGGUUGGUUAGUGGAUAACACAGAAUCACACCACGAAAGGCCCACCAAAUCACCGCAUUAUAAAUAAAAAUAAAACACACUCUAUCAUCUUCCCUACCCGUCAAACUAAAUUUCCAUCCCUUAUAAAAUAUAAGGGGUGUUAGGUUUUAAGAAAAUCAAAUUUCUUUAACUUUGAUCAAGUUCAAAGCAAAAAUAUCAACAUCCACAAUAUUGAACAAAAAAAUGUAUAGAAAUUCAUUUCGGGUUGAAUCUAAAAAUACCGAUUUGAUAUUGUGGAUUUUGAUAGAUUUCUCUAUAAAUUUGAUCAAAUUACAAUGUUUGACUUUUCAAAAAAGUAAUACACCUUAUAUUUUGAAACAAAGUGAUUUUUUUUAAGAAACCCAACAACACGAACGGCGCAGCAAAGCACACACAACCCUUUUAGUAAUUUUGAAAUGCAAGAAGUGUGAUGUUACAAAAAUGUGAAAAAUCCAGAUUGGUAGAUAUGAUUAUGUGAUUGGUAUGAACAACAUAAUUUAUGUAUUGUUAGGUACUGGUGCAGCAGCAGGUAAAACAUGAGUACGACUUGUAGCUUGAUAUAUGUAUAGAAUGAGUAUAUAUUAGAUUUUCAAUGUGAGAAAACAAUACAGUGAGCAUAUUGAUUAAUGAGAGUCACUUGACGGUGGAAGGAGCUCCUCCCCCGCUAGGGUUCCUCCCCCGCCGCCGCCGGCCUCCUCGCCUGCUUCCGCCGCCGCCGGCCGCCGGGCGAGCGCCUCCAGGCUUGCCCUGCUCCCCCCUCCCCCACCAACCCCCNNNNNNNNNNNNNNNNNNNNNNNNNNNNNNNNNNNNNNNNNNNNNNNNNNNNNNNNNNNNNNNNNNNNNNNNNNNNNNNNNNNNNNNNNNNNNNNNNNNNNNNNNNNNNNNNNNNNNNNNNNNNNNNNNNNNNNNNNNNNNNNNNNNNNNNNNNNNNNNNNNNNNNNNNNNNNNNNNNNNNNNNNNNNNNNNNNNNNNNNNNNNNNNNNNNNNNNNNNNNNNNNNNNNNNNNNNNNNNNNNNNNNNNNNNNNNNNNNNNNNNNNNNNNNNNNNNNNNNNNNNNNNNNNNNNNNNNNNNNNNNNNNNNNNNNNNNNNNNNNNNNNNNNNNNNNNNNNNNNNNNNNNNNNNNNNNNNNNNNNNNNNNNNNNNNNNNNNNNNUACCCUCCCCCCUGUCGUCGCCGGCGAGCUCCGUCGGGCAAAGCCCGGGGGGCGCGGCGGCAGCGGGGCCCUUCUCCCCCCUGUUCGUGGGACACCGGCGCGGGGCGUGAUGGGGUUAUGUACCUAGGGUAGGGUCAUGGACCUGAUCUAGGUACCUUACCCAAGGACACCCUUAGAAGAAGUCGCCUUCCAGUCGACCAACGAGGGACACACUCGACUGACUUGAAGGACUCGACCACGAAGACUCACUCGACCACCAGAAGGUCAAGAGGCACACUGCACUGCAACGGCCAGUAAUCAAGUAGACUUUAUGAUAGUAAAGGCACUUUAUGUGGGGCGUUACCAGUAACGCCCCAGACUUAACUCACCUUAAACCCUCUCCUACGUGGGCUGGCUGGGGUCCUGGCGCACUCUAUAUAAGCCACCCCCCUCCACAGGCAGAAGGGUUCGGCACCUUGUAACUCAUAUACUCAUAAUCCACUCGACCGCCUCCGGGCUCCGAGACGUAGGGCUGUUACUUCCUCCGAGAAGGGCCUGAACUCGUACAUCCUUUGUGCUUACAACCUCUCCAUAGCUAGGACCUUGCCUCUCCAUACCUACCCCCCACUCUACUGUCAGGCUUAGAACCACGACAGUUGGCACCCACCGUGGGGCAGGUGUUUUAGCGAUUUUGUGGAGAAAGUUGCGAUUCUUCCGAGUACUUUCAUCAUGGUGUCUGCUGGAGUUUUGGUCGAGGGUCAAGAGGUCCGUCUCGGCACUCUCGCCUUCAUCGCCGACGACUCCGCAUGGCUCCAGGAGGCUCCACUCGACGUGGAUGCGCUCCCCGUCCGCGGUGCGACGCAUUUUCGCGCAUGUGUCCGUGGCGUUCUGCUGCGGCAACCGUCGACCCAGUAUCGGUCGGCUCCUUUAUCGUCCACCCUCCCGGUCUCCCGCCAGCGCAAGCGCUCAGGCCGGUCGAGGCUUCAGCGAUGGGUGAGGCACACGGUGGCUCGCCAAUCGGCCACCACCCAAGUUGCGGCAAUCGAGCCCGACGAACCUCUCUACGGCUUGUUCGAUCAGUCGACUGGCUCCGUAGAGACUGCAUCCGAGUGCGGUAGCAGUGAUCCAGCGGCGGAAAUCUUGAUGGUCGACGGGCCCCACAGUCCCCCUGGCUUCGCCCGUGGUGGUGGAGCAGGUGACGGCGACGACCCUACACGAGGCUACGAAGAGUACCAGCCCGAGCCACUCGACUCUCUGCAAAGAGAGGAACUUCGCCGCAGGAACGAGGAUCCCCUGCGUAUUCCCAUCGCAGGAGAAACCCCCGAGGCUCGUGCCUUGGAGGAGGCGCGUCUGGCCAAUUUGGCCGAGCGCACUCGACUGGAGAACCUUCAGCGAGCACUCGACGAGCGCGCGCGGCAACGAGUUCCCGACACCAGUCGACGUCAACUCUUCCCGCCGACUCAGGUAUAUCGAACCCCAAUUCAGAAUUUAGCAGCUGCGACCCGUAUAGCAGAGUCCAUCCAGCCUUCGCAGUCGGAAGCUGGCAGAGGUUUGCUGCAGAUCAGGGAUCUACUCCGGGCAGCAGGAGAUCAGAAUUCAGCCGUGUCUCAGUCACACAACAGAAUUCACAGUCGAUCCGUCACUGUGAAUACAGUUCAGUCGGCGCAUAGCCCCAGAUCGCCUCCGCGGUGCGAAGGGCGCGGGAAUCGGCGAGAUCAAUAUGAUGACAGACUCGACCGAGAUGACAGACGUCGAGUGCCCUAUUCCCCUCCGGGGGGUGGGUCUUACGCUCCUCGGCAGCCAGAUGAUAGGCGUCAGUACAGUACAGGGCGUAGGGUUCCAGUCGACCCCAGAGAACCAGGCUUCGAUGCGCGAUCCAUUAUCGUGCAAGGGUUGGUCGAUCGGAACAGAGCCCAUCGAGGUGCACUCGACAGAGAUGUGCCCACAAGCAGUCGAGUGCAUGUUUCUGGCCCUGAAUGUUUCAGCAGGACUAUCAGAGCCGCAGUUAUCCCUCCCAAUUUUAGGUUGGCAACAGGAGUCAGCAAGUUCACUGGUGAGUCAAAGCCUGAAACUUGGCUUGAAGACUACCGAGUGGCAGUUCAGAUUGGUGGUGGGAACGACGAAGUGGCCAUGAAACACUUGCCCCUCAUGCUGGAAGGUUCUGCCAGGGCAUGGUUGACUCAAUUACCUCCUAGCAGCAUUUACACUUGGGAAGAUCUGUCCCGAGUGUUCAUCAGAACGUUUGAAGGAACUUGCAAGCGACCAGCUGGAUUGACAGAGUUGCAAGUCUGCGUGCAGAAAACUAAUGAGACUCUCAGAGAGUAUAUUCAGAGGUGGAUCACUUUGCACCACACUGUGGAGAAUGUGUCUGAUCAUCAGGCAGUCUGCGCCUUCAAAGAUGGUGUCAAGAACAGAGAACUGAGUUUGAAGUUUGGUCGAACCGGUGACAUGACCUUGAGUCAGAUGAUGGAGAUUGCUACCAAGUACGCCAACGGCGAAGAAGAAGACCAACUCCGAAGCGGCAAGCACAAGCCGAGUCAGUCGGAAAAAGGAAACACCAGUCGGAAACAGAAGCGGAAGGCUGAACCGGCAGCUCCUGGAGAGGCUCUGGCCGUGACUCAAGGAAAGUUUAAGGGGAAACCAAAAGGAUCCUGGAACCCCAAGAAGGUAAAGGAUAAAGAAGGGGACGACGUGAUGGAUAUGCCAUGUCACAUUCACACGAAGAAAGACGAAGAGGGGAAUAUCAUUUACCCGAAGCACACCACUCGCCAAUGUCGACUCCUGAUCCAGCAGUUUCAGGGAAAACAGUCUAAGGACAAGGAGAAGGAGUCGGACAAGGCCGAAGACAAGGAGGACAGUGAGGAAGGAUAUCCGCAUAUCAACUCCACUCUGAUGAUCUUUGCAGAUGUGGAAAGCAGAAGUCGACUGAAAGUGAUUAACCGAGAGGUGAACAUGGUUGCCCCCGCAAAAGCAAAUUAUCUGAAGUGGUCUCAAACACCCAUCACAUUCGACCAAUUUGAUCACCCGACUCAUAUUGCCACCCCUGGGAGGCAAGCUUUGGUGGUCGAUCCAGUUGUCGAAGGCACUCGACUGACAAAGGUGCUGAUGGAUGGUGGAAGUGGGCUGAACUUAUUGUAUGCAGACACAUUGAAAGGUAUGGGCAUUCCGAUGUCCCGACUGAGCACUAGUAACAUGAGCUUUCAUGGAGUUAUACCAGGGAAGAAGGCCGAGUCACUCGGCCAGAUAGCUUUGGACGUGGUGUUUGGCGAUUCAAAGUAUUUUCGCAAAGAAAAGUUGACGUUUGAGGUCGUGGAUUUUCAAAGUGCAUAUCAUGCCAUUUUGGGGAGACCAGCUUACGCGCGGUUCAUGGCUCGACCAUGCUACGUAUACCUCAAAUUGAAGAUGCCCGGUCCCAAAGGAGUGAUCACUGUCACCGGUGAUAGGAAAAAGGCAGAAGAGUGCUUUCAGAAGGGCUCCAAGAUUGCUGAUUCCCAGGUGACGGCAGUCGAGUUCGAAGAAUACAAGCAAAACGCAGAUCCGAGUGACUUGCUGCGAUCCAAGAAGCCCGCCACAGAGUCUGCAUUCCAGUCGUCCGGUGAGACGAAGCCUGUUCACAUUCACCCGACCGACCCCGAAGCAGCUCCGACCCGCAUCUCCACGACACUCGACCCAAAAUAGGAAGAAGCGCUCAUCCAGUUCCUCCGUGAGAACUGGGACAUUUUUGCAUGAAAGCCCGCUGACAUGCCAGGUGUUCCCAGGGGACUGGCUGAGCAUCGCCUAAGAGUCGACUCAUCUGCAAAACCAGUCAAAGAGCAUCUUCGACGGUCCGCCGUCCAGAAGAGAAAAGCCAUUGGCGAAGAAGUGGCUCGACUGUUGGCGGCAAGAUUUAUCCGAGAGAUAUACCACUCCGAGUGGGUCGCUAAUGUCGUCAUGGUUCCUAAGAAGGACCAGUCGCUCCGAAUGUGCAUUGAUUUCAAGCACAUCAACCGGGCCUGUCCGAAAGAUCAUUUUCCUCUCCCUCGCAUAGAUCAAAUUGUUGACUCGACCGCGGGAUGUGAGAGGUUAUCUUUUUUAGAUGCCUACUCCGGGUACCACCAGAUCCGUCUGUACGGGCCCGACGAGGUAAAAACAGCUUUCAUCACUCCAUUCGGGUGCUUCUGCUAUAUCACCAUGCCGUUCGGCCUCAAGAAUGCCGGAGCCACAUUUAUGCGAAUGAUUCAGAAGUGUCUACUCACUCAAAUCAGUCGGAAUGUGGAAGCUUAUAUGGAUGAUAUCGUUGUCAAGUCGCGGAAAGGUUCCGACCUGCUCGCUGACCUCGCCGAAACAUUUGCCAACCUCAGAAGGUAUGAUAUCAAGCUCAAUCCAUCAAAGUGCACAUUUGGAGUUCCUGGUGGCAAGUUACUCGGUUUUCUCGUUUCCGAACGGGGAAUCGACGCUAACCCAGAGAAGAUUGGCACUAUUCUCCGAAUGAAACGCCAUGUGCGAGUGCAUGAUGUCCAGAAGCUUACUGGAUGCUUGGCCGCAUUAAGUCGAUUCAUCUCACGACUCGGUGAAAAGGCAUUACCUCUUUACCGACUGAUGAAGAAGACAGACAAGUUCGAGUGGACUCCAGAAGCUGAUGCAGCAUUUGCCGAGCUAAAAGCUCUGCUCUCCACCCAGCCGGUGCUUGCUGCUCCAAUCAGCAAAGAGCCUCUGUUGCUCUAUAUCGCAGCCACAGGACAAGUCGUCAGUACUGUGCUAACGGUCAAGCGGGAAGAAGAAGGAAAAGCUCUCAAAGUUCAGCGCCCAGUGUAUUAUUUGUCUGAAGUCUUGACUCCAUCCAAGCAGAGAUAUCCUCAUUAUCAGAAGCUUGUGUAUGGAAUAUACAUGACCACAAAGAAGGUUGCUCAUUAUUUCUCUGAUCAUUCCAUCACAGUCGUCAGCGACGCUCCACUAUCAGAGAUUUUGCACAACAGAGAUGCAACUGGUCGAGUGGCCAAAUAGGCGAUUGAACUUCUUCCCCUUGAUAUCAAGUUUGAGGCAAAGAAAGCCAUUAAGUCCCAGGCAAUAGCAGAUUUCCUUGCCGAGUGGAUUGAACAGCAGCAGCCGACUGAAGUUCACUCGGAGCAUUGGACCAUGUUUUUUGAUGGCUCUAAGAUGUUGAAUGGUUCCGGUGCUGGGGUUGUCCUGGUUUCCCCCAGAGGAGAUAAGCUCAGAUAUGUGCUCCAGAUUCACUUUGAUUCCUCCAACAAUGAGGCAGAAUAUGAAGCCCUCUUAUAUGGGUUGCGCAUGGCCAUUUCACUCGGCGUCCGUCGCCUGAUGGUCUAUGGCGACUCGGAUUUAGUGGUCAAUCAGGUGAUGAAAGAGUGGGACGUGAGAAGCCCAACCAUGACUGGAUACUGCAGUGCAGUGAGGAAGCUAGAAAAGAAGUUCGAGGGGUUGGAGCUCCAUCAUAUACCCCAACUGAAAAAUCAAGCAGCUGAUGAUCUAGCAAAGAUAGGUUCCAAGAGAGAAGCCAUCCCGAGUGGUGUGUUCUUGGAGCAUAUACACACUCCGUCAGUCAAAGAAGAUCCUUUCACCGAAGAAACUCCACAGCCCAAGAGUGCCACAGAUCCGACUAAAGUUGAAGUCCCAGCGGUGGUCGACUUGAUCAUGGAGGUUUUGGUGGUCAUUCCCGACUGGACGAUUCCGUAUGUCGCAUAUAUCCUGAGGAAAGAGCUCCCGGAGGAUGAGGAAGAGGCUCGACAGAUCGUCCGUCGAUCUAAGGCCUUUACCGUAAUCAAAGGACAAUUAUACAGAGAAAGCGCGACUGGAGUUGGUCAGAAGUGCAUAACACCAGAAGAAGGUCGACUCAUCCUCAAUGAUAUUCACUCGGGGACCUGUGGUCAUCAUGCGUCCUCUCGGACCAUCGUGGCCAAAGCAUACCGAGCCGGAUUUUACUGGCCAAAGGCGAAUGAGAUGGCAAAAGAGAUAGUGGAUAAGUGCGAGGGAUGUCAAUUCUACUCGAAUAUGUCACACAAGCCUGCGUCGGCUCUGAAGACCAUUCCACUCGUCUGGCCUUUCGCAGUAUGGGGAUUGGACAUGGUCGGUCCUUUGAGAACAGGACGAAGUGGCUUCACGCAUGUACUGGUGGCAGUCGACAAGUUCACCAAGUGGAUCGAGGCUAAACCAAUCAAGAGCCUUGACACCGGUACUGCUGUUAGCUUCAUCAGGGAACUAAUAUUCAGAUAUGGAGUCCCACACAGCAUCAUUACGGAUAAUGGGUCGAACUUUGACUCAGAGGAAUUCAGAGCUUUCUGCAACUCCCAGGGCACACGGGUCGACUACGCUUCAGUCGCCCAUCCGCAGUCGAAUGGACAAGCAGAGCGAGCUAAUGGACUGAUUCUUAAGGGAUUGAAGCCUCGACUGAUGCGUGAUCUCAAACACGCGGCUGGAGCUUGGGUCGACGAACUUCCCUCAGUACUCUGGGGACUGCGGACCACACCUAAUCGGUCGACCGGAAGAACUCCAUUCUUCUUGGUCUACGGAGCUGAAGCAGUCUUGCCGAGUGAUCUUCUUCACAAUGCUCCUCGAGUUGAAAUCUACAACGAAGCAGAGGCUGAACAAGCGCGGCAAGACGCAGUCGACCUUUUAGAGGAAGAAAGGGAGAUGGCUCUGAUCCGGUCGACCAUCUACCAACAAGAUUUGCGUCGUUUCUACGCCAGAAAUGUGAGAGGUCGAGCCUUCCAGGAAGGAGAUUUGGUUCUCCGAGUGGAUCAGCACAAACCACACAAGCUUGCUCCUUCUUGGGAAGGCCCCUUCAUCGUCACCAAGGUUCUCCACAACGGGGCGUACCGUCUUUACAACGUCGAGCAUAAUAUCGACGAGCCCCGAGCUUGGAACGCGGAGCUACUCCGCCCAUUUUACACUUAAGUUUUAUCACUCGGAUGAGUUGCAAUAAAGUACUUCUGUAGUUCAUGGACCUCAAAAUAAUAGUGUCAUAGUCCCUCCAUAAUUUCUGUCGCUUUUUAUUUUUGUCCAAUAAAAUUCCCCCUCAGUGGGUGACUUAGCUGCGAAUCCGUUUCGCCUAAGUUUGUAAAAAUCCUACCGAGUGGCGAGCCAGACUCCCACUCGGAGGCUUAGCUGCAAAUCUGUUUCGCCUAAGUUAUGAAAAUCCUACCGAGUGGCGAGCCAGACUCCCACUCGGAGGCUUAGCUGCGAAUCCGUUUCGCCUAAGUUAUCAAAAUCCUACCGAGUGGUAAGCCAGCCUUUCACUCGGGGGCUUAGCUGCAGCCCUGUGCUCGCCUAAGUUACAAAAAUCCUACCGAGUGUAGAGCAACCCUCUCACUCGGAGGCUUAGCUGCAGUCCAAGCACUCGCCUAAGUUAUCAAAAUCCUACCGAGUGUAGAGCAACCCUCUCACUCGGGGGCUUAGCUGCAGUCCAAGCACUCGCCUAAGUUAUCAAAAUCCUACCGAGUGUAGAGCAACCCUCUCACUCGGGGGCUUAGCUGCAGUCCAAGCACUCGCCUAAGUUAUCAAAAUCCUACCGAGUGUAGAGCAACCCUCUCACUCGGGGGCUUAGCUGCAGUCCAAGCACUCGCCUAAGUUAUCAAAAUCCUACCGAGUGUAGAGCAACCCUCUCACUCGGAGGCUUAGCUGCAGUCCAAGCACUCGCCUAAGUUAUCAAAAUCCUACCGAGUGUAGAGCAACCCUCUCACUCGGAGGCUUAGCUGCAGUCCAAGCACUCGCCUAAGUUAUCAAAAUCCUACCGAGUGUAGAGCAACCCUCUCACUCGGAGGCUUAGCUGCAGUCCAGGCACUCGCCUAAGUUAUCAAAAUCCUACCGAGUGUAGAGCAACCCUCUCACUCGGAGGCUUAGCUGCAGUCCAAGCACUCGCCUAAGUUAUCAAAAUCCUGCCGAGUGAAGAGUAAACCUCUCACUCGGGGACUUAGCUGCAGCCCAGUGCUCGCCUAAGUGGACUGAAGAAUAAGUCGAUUGCAGUAAAGGCGCCUUGCUUUGAACCUGCAAAAGACAUUUCGAGCCAAAGGCAAUCAUAUUCAAGCACCAAAUUCAAGUUUGAAUCGAUAUCUAAAGGAACCGAGAGUGCUCAGGCGUUAAGCCUGUUAAGGUUUAUCGGUUACAAUUCCACUCGGCAUACCAAGGCAAAUUUAAAAGCGUCGAGCCAGAAUAAGUUUUUUACCCCUCCUGUGGAGGGCUGGAAGGGGCAACGAAUUCAUCAAGGUCAAUUCCGUCGGCGAUCCGAGUGGCAGCUGCAAGGAAAGUUUCCAUAAAGGACCUGAAGUCGUGCUUCUUGGUAUUGGACACCCGAAGGGCCGCCAGCUUCUCUUCUCGUGCAUCCUUACAGUGGACUCGGGCAAGACACAGAGCAACAUCUGCACCACACCGAGCCGAGGACUUCUUCCAUUCCUGCACUCGACCAGGGAUCGUGUUCAACCGGGCCAUCAGCGAUUCAAGGUCAUUCUGAAGUGUCUCCUCAGGCCAAAGCGUCGAGUCGAUGCGAGAUGUGGCGGCCUUCAGCCUUGCGAGAUAGUCCACGACAGCUGCAACACGGGACUCCAGUCGGAGAACAUCCAUGGCAACUUCAUCGUUCACCGCAGAAUUGACGGGGUCGAGGUUUGGCUCCAGCCGGCUAGUUUCUUCUUCAAAGUUUUGACAAAAUUCUGCAAGGGUGAUCACUAAGUCAAGGAGAUGGUCGAAUGGAAAAAUCACAGUUGGAAAUGUCUGCCAAGCAUAGAGGUUUACCUUCAAGCAUAAGAAACAGCUUCUUGGCAAGUCCACUCAGGAAGGCCUCCAGAUCAGUUUUCUUCCCAGUCAAUUUGGCAACUUGGUCGGUCAGGGCAGCUUUAUCAGUUUUCAGUCGACUGACCUCCUUGUUGGCAAUCCCAAGAGCAGCUUUCAGAUUGGUAUUGUCUUGUUCGAGCUUGGUGACUGAAGCUAACUUCUCGUCAGCAAGCUUGAUCUUCUCAGCUAGCUCAAGGUCUUUCUUCUGUUGGGCCUCCCUUACUUUACCUGCAAGUUACAGCAAGAUCAGAUUUUGAAACAAGCAAGGGGAAAAGCAGUCGUCAAGGUCUCACCAAACAUACCUUCUGUCUCCUCCUUUGCCUUUGUCAGCUUCUCCUGAACCAGCUUCAAGCUCAGCUCGACUUGAGUAUGCUUGUGUUCCAACUCUGAGUAGCGAGCCACAAGAUCACAAGAGUUCUGCGAAGAACCAAUCGACUAAAUGUCAAAUAUAAUUCACUUCCGAGUGAAAAAGGGAAAAACUCACGUUUCUAAGACUACAGCCGAAUACAAGCAUUCGACCGUAGUCUCGGGGACUACACCCAGUGGGUGCACUCAGCGUGCCCCCACUAAUCCUGUUGAAGACAAAGUCGACCAGUCGACCUCAAAAAAAAAGAUGUAUUCUCUAAGACUGUGAUCAACUGCAAGCAGUCGACCACAGUCUCGGGGACUACACCCAGUGGGUGCACUCAGCGUGCCCCCACUGGUUUGUGAAAUCCAGUCGACAUAGUCGACUGACAGAAAAAUUGACAUCAUAAAGCCUAAGGCCGACUGCCAGCAGUCGACCUUAGCCUUGGGGACUACACCCAGCGGGUGCACUCAGCGUGCCCCCGCUAAUACGGAACUCAAUCGACAACACCCACUGGGUGACUACUAUAAAUUCCGGAAAGGAAAAGUUUUUGGCAGCAUAUCCAACAGAACAAACGGUGGUCGACUGACCUGAACAUUGCUUUGGAGGGCAGAACUGGCGUCAUAAGCUGCCUGGCUCGCAUCCCGGAUGGUCUUCAUCUGCUCCAUCAUGAGUCCUGCCUGGCGUAUCGCCUCCUUCGCUGCGCCAGCUUGGUCCUCUGGGACGUGGUGCGUCGUGAAGAGGGAGGGCUGCUGAGCACUCGUCAGUGGAUUCGCGAAGGACACCGUGUGUCGAGUGGUGUUCUCUUCCUCCACAGUCAGAAUCUCAGGCGCCGUCACAUCCUGAGGCACCUUACUGGCGGACGCUUUCCGACUCCUCCUGCGCUUCAGCGGCUCUUCAUCCUCAUCAUCAUCAGGAAGAUUGAUAACAGUAUUGGGUGGAGCUGCGGAGAAGAAUCAGGAUCAGAGAUCGCGAGUCAGUCGACUAAGAACGGCGUUAAGAAUACAAUACCUGGGUUCGAAGUUGCUGCGUCCUCCAUCUCGUGGUCAUCAGCCCGGGCCGAGGUUUCAGAAGUAGCAGCACUGCAACUCCAAAGGAUCAGUCGACUAACUUCAGCGUCGACCAGAGACAAAGUUCACACAAAAUGAGAAGAUUCAAACAACACGAUUACCCUGAUAUGGUAGGGAUGGACACCUUCAUCUUCGGUAGGAGCUUGAUCGGCUUCGACGAGGCCGUCCUGGGCUGUUUCGGCGCCUUUUCAGUCGGCACCGGAGAGACGGUCCGAGGGCGCUUGGUCGACUGAGUGGUGGUCGCAACCCCCUUACCACGUUCGGUUGAAGGGUCGUGGACAAGCUUCGACCGCCUUUCCGAGCGCGGUGGUACGACCUCCUCCUCCUCUUCCUCCUCGUCUUCAACGUCAUUGUCAUCACCGUCAUCAUCAUCAUCGUCGUCGUCAUCCCCUGCAACGUCUGAGUCCCACUCCUCCUCUUCCUGGCUCUCACCCCCGCUCGCCUCACCCUCCUCAGUCGGAGUUUGUGCCCCAUUGGGCAUCGAGUACAGCUUAGUGAGAGCCUAGCAGAUAUCAAGACAAGGAUCAGUCGACCAGUCGGCAGGAUAAACAGAAAUGAAUGCGACAAGAACGCAGUGGAGGGCAGAGCAAAUGUACCUUGUUUGGAUCGCUGUUGUGGUCGAGUGGAGGAAUCCUUCUGGCUCCGCGUGGGUUGUCCUUGUUUCCGGUAACGGCUACCAUCCAUCUUUCCAGAGUGGCAUCGUCGACUGCUUCUGGAUGGACUCGAGUCUCGUCUUCGGUCCCACAGUACAACCACAUGCAGUGGCUCCGGAACUGAAGGGGCUGGAUGCGACGCCUGAGGAAGACCUCCAGGAGGUCCAUGCCCGUCACUCCCUCCCGAACCAACUGCACCACGCGCUCCAUCAACAUCUUCACGUCAGCUUUCUCCUCCGGAAUCAGCUUCAGAGGGGAGGUCUUGUUCACUCGGUCCAUGGUAAACGGAGGGAGUCCACUCGACUACCCUGGCGUCGACUGGACCUGGCAGUAGAACCAAGUCGACUGCCAGCCUCUGACGGACUCAGGAAAGGUCAUGGGCGGGAAGGUGCUCUUGUUCCUCACCUGGAUCCCCAGACCCCCACACAUUUGGACGACUCGGGUUCUCUCAUCACCUGGGCUCGCCUUCUUCACGGUCUGAGAGCGACACGUGAAUAUAUGUUUGAACAAACCCCAGUGCGGUCGACAGCCCAAGAAACCCUCACACAUGGACACGAAUGCAGCAAGAUAGGCAAUGGAGUUUGGGGUAAAGUGGUGAAGCUGCGCUCCGAAGAAAUUCAAGAAGCCACGGAAGAAAAUACUCGGCGGCAAGGAAAACCCACGAUCAACAUGAGUGGCCAAAAGCACACACUCACCCUCUUCUGGCUGAGGUUGCCACUCCUUCCCCGGAAGCCUCGCAGCUCCGUGAGGGAUCAAGCCCUCGUUGGCCAUGUCGAGGAGGUCCUUCUCUGUGAUGGUCGACUGGAUCCAGUCUCCUUGGACCCAGCCCUUCGGCAGACGGGAUCUGGACGAGGACCCUCCGCGGCUGGUGGAUCUCCCCUUCGCCUUCUCCGACACCGACGCCUUCUUUGCGCGCUCCAGCGCCGCCGUCUUCUCCUUGGCCAUGGUCGCCGGCGAGAUGCGCGAAGGGAAGUGGUGCGGGGGCGAGAGCGAGCACGCUGGGCGGAGAAGAAGGAAGCAGAGAGAGGGAGAGAAUGCUGAGGCGCAGCACAGAAAUCCUCGCCGGGCACAUUUAUAAGGUCCCUUCCGAGUGGAUGACAGGUGGGCCCGUCGAUCUAAUCAUAUCUGGGAAUAGUUAUGCAGACGGGAUACGUGGCGAAAAAGGCGGCGCGGAGAUCGAGGCGUCUAUGCCCCGUUCCAUCCGAACGCCGCGGUCCGCCCCGCUUCGCGCGCGUCCCCAAAUUUCGCAUCCCGCGGAAUCCGCGAACAACAAAUCAGUCUAUCAGACGCGGUGUUUCCGGCGAUCCGUCGCUCGGAGAUCGUCGAAGCCCGAAAGAUCACUCGACGCAAAAAUAGAAUGGAUCGAGUCGACUGAAGGCAAAUUGCUCCCUGUCGACGAAGAGAUUCUUUGGUCCAGGACAACGCACGACCAGGGCACAAAGGUUAAUCGGAAACGACAUCAACUCCUUCCUCACUCGAAGCCUCAAUCCAUUCGGGGGCUAAUGAUGGGGUUAUGUACCUAGGGUAGGGUCAUGGACCUGAUCUAAGUACCUUACCCAAGGACACCCUUAGAAGAAGUCGCCUUCCAGUCGACCAACGAGGGACACACUCGACUGACUUGAAGGACUCGACCACGAAGACUCACUCGACCACCAGAAGGUCAAGAGGCACACUGCACUGCAACGGCCAGUAAUCAAGUAGACUUUAUGAUAGUAAAGGCACUUUAUGUGGGGCGUUACCAGUAACGCCCCAGACUUAACUCACCUUAAACCCUCUCCUACGUGGGCUGGCUGGGGUCCUGGCGCACUCUAUAUAAGCCACCCUCCUCCACAGGCAGAAGGGUUUGGCACCUUGUAACUCAUAUACUCAUAAUCCACUCGACCGCCUCCGGGCUCCGAGACGCAGGGCUGUUACUUCCUCCGAGAAGGGCCUGAACUCGUACAUCCUUUGUGCUUACAACCUCUCCAUAGCUAGGACCUUGCCUCUCCAUACCUACCCCCACUCUACUGUCAGGCUUAGAACCACGACAGGGCGGUCUCCUCGAGCUGCGGCGUUGGUCUUCGCGGGGUCCAGCGACUCGGCGGCGGGCUCGCAGGGCGCCCGGUUGGUGGCGGUGAGCCGGUGCCCUGGGGCUCGUGCAUGGCGGGGCCGCUGCGGCGCUCCCGUCUCGGGAGGUGGAGCGCGGUUGGCCCCUUGCUGGAUCCAGCCGGAUCUGGUGGUGGGGGUCGGUCGGCGGCGUGUGGCGGCGGUGGUGCGUGCCCGGCGGCUCCGGCGCUAUGAGCGCGCCGGGCGACGCGGGUAGGGCAGCGGCCGGGCGUGGCCGUUGCUCCGGCCGUGGGCGGCGACAUGUGGAGGUCCGGCGGUGGUGGACUCCCGGUGUCGUGGCGGCACCAUGGUGGCUUGGCGGAUCUACUUGCGGCGGCGGACGGCUUCUCCGGCGUCGGCUUGUUUGCAAUCGGACCGUUUCGGCCUUCACUCCAUGUCCUCGGCGCUCGGUCGUUACUCCCUUCGAAGGGCUGGCCCUUUCCUAGCUGCUGUCCAUCGCUCGUCUCGCACCUGGUGCAGCAGGACCGAGGUCGUCUCGUGCACAGUGCCGCAGGACCGAGCUCGUCUCGCGCACGGUGCAGCAGGACUGACUCCGUCCCCGCCCCACGGUGCUGCAGGACCGAUCUCGUCUCGCGCUCCGGGCUGCAGGAUGGGUCGAUGGAUGCCAGUGUUGGCCGACCUAUUGGGUCUCGACGCUGGGGUGGGCCAGGGGUGCAAAGGCGUCUCCUUUUCUGCUCGUCUCUUUGGUUGGGGUAGCGGCGGGUCUCGGGUGUGGUGGUUUCAAGGUCUUGGAUGCCGGGGCGGCGGCCCUGGUGGCGGUGCACGGUGCUCUUGGGCAGAGCCCGUGUCUUGACGCUGCCCGGUGAUCAUGGCCGUGUGGGCGGCGUGGUUGCCGGGGUGUAGCGGUCGGUGAUGGUGAGUGUAGACCGGGAUGAAAACCUGCUCUAUCUUCGGAUGGACCGGCGACGGCGAAGCUUGCUCCCUUCUUGAAGGCGUCGUGCGGCUCCGGGGGAAACUCUGAUCCUUGGAUCUGGCGGUGGCGGCACUCCGGUGUCGUAUCCUUCCUGAAGGCACCGCCUUGGAGUCCACGGUUCGCUGUAUGCGGCUUCAUCUCUUCGUGGUAGUGUGCUAGGGGUGGUGUUGUUGCGCUCAGUACUUUUGUAUCCUGCCUUGGGUGUGUGUGGUGUGGGCGUGUGUUUGUUUCGGAUGAUGUUGAUCUUUUUGCUUUAUAUAUAAAACGGGGCGUAAGCCUUUUUCAGUAUAACAAAAGAAAAUGUAUGUUGAACUAAUCAGGAAAAUUUUGCAGUCAUGGACAAAUAAUCAAAAGUGCUUAAAUGAAUGUUUCAUAUGAACUGAAUUGCUAUUGAACAUACUGGUAAAGAUGCACCGUACGCACAUAAAGAGGGAUGUAGAAGAACGGCUGGACCAAGAAUUUGUACGGAUAAACAUGUAUAUUGUCUAUUGAGAGGGUUCCGAAUUUGUAUCCAUUUUUCAGCUAAAUUCGGCUGAAGUAACUUUUCAGAUCACAGUGCUGCUAUGAACUUUCGCAUAUAUGAACUGAGUUUGAGGGGUGUCAGGACAACCCGAACAUAUGAGUUGAUUUUGACGAGACCAGUUAGGCUGCUUUUUUGAGUCUGGGUGGUGUCCAUCUUGUCCGCCCGACUUUUACGAGGAAAUGGGAGGUGGGGGUGGGGGUGGGGGUUGUUGGCUGUAGUUGCUCUAAACCUCAAAAUGCAUGGAGGCCGGACAUAAUGGAACACAUUCGCCCCAUUCGUAUAUGCAAGUGCUUCGAAGAAGACAACCGGUGCGGGAAGCUGAGCGGCCUGGCCCCGGCCACCAUGUACACGCUCAGAAAUAAGGGGCGAACUGUGGAAGCCGCAAUGGUGCCGCCGACAUGAAGUCAAAGGCGGAGGGGACGCCCGGUAAACUCUUCGUGUCGGGUACAAUGGCCUUUAACUGCGGAUGGUGUCUAUUUUGCCGCCUUUGCCUAUGAUGCCCAGUUUGUGGCUAGGAUUGAAAGGCCGGGGCCGGAAAGAUUGUGGAAUGAAAGGAUGGAGGGGAGGAUCAAGUUCUACAUAUGGCUGCUGCUACAAAACAGAAAUUGAACGGCAGGCCGAUUACAAGCCCGGGGAUGAUCGCACAACAACAUUUGCUGUCUCUGUAACCAGGAGCCGGAAACUGCGGCACACAUCACAAUGCGGUGCUACUUCACGAAGAAGAUUCUGGUUCAGCUACAAGGGCCAAUCACCUUGAUGAGCGCGGAGGCUUUCUCAGCGCCAUCCAUUGGAGAGUGGUGGUCGAGGCUAUGCUCCGGCCAUGGGACCAGAAUCAAGACCAAGGAGGAGGUCACCUUGACGGCUUACAUCGCCNNNNNNNNNNNNNNNNNNNNNNNNNNNNNNNNNNNNNNNNNNNNNNNNNNNNNNNNNNNNNNNNNNNNNNNNNNNNNNNNNNNNNNNNNNNNNNNNNNNNNNNNNNNNNNNNNNNNNNNNNNNNNNNNNNNNNNNNNNNNNNNNNNNNNNNNNNNNNNNNNNNNNNNNNNNNNNNNNNNNNNNNNNNNNNNNNNNNNNNNNNNNNNNNNNNNNNNNNNNNNNNNNNNNNNNNNNNNNNNNNNNNNNNNNNNNNNNNNNNNNNNNNNNNNNNNNNNNNNNNNNNNNNNNNNNNNNNNNNNNNNNNNNNNNNNNNNNNNNNNNNNNNNNNNNNNNNNNNNNNNNNNNNNNNNNNNNNNNNNNNNNNNNNNNNNNNNNNNNNNNNNNNNNNNNNNNNNNNNNNNNNNNNNNNNNNNUGUGUGAAAGGAAUCGCGCGACUUUCGAGCAGAAAGAAUUAACGGCCAUGGUGUUUGCCAGCCUGAUCGAGGACGAGGUGAAGACGUUCUAUGAGGCCACCAAAGUGAUUAACGCUGUGGGACCAUGGCCGGAGUAUUCUUAGUCUCAUCUGAGUGUUGUACUCCUUCCGUUUCAAAAUAAAUGUCUUAAACUUAAUACAACUUUGUCUAAAGUACGCGUGAGUGGGAUCGGCUAGGCUUUUUCCUGGCUUCUCGACUGUGUUUGUAACAUUUCUAUUCUCCUCUUUUGGUGUCUUGGAUCGUGUUCCAACGAUUGAUUCAUGUCGUCCCAGGCAUCGACCCUGACCCUCGAUCCGGGUCAGAGUAGCCACAAUGAGAGUAAUUUAACUAAUAACAUCACAUAUUUUAAUAUAAAAUUGCUUAUGUGACAGCUAAUUAAUGAGGAGAGAGGUUUGUGGUAACUUAGUUACUGUAACACCACAUAUUUCAAGGCAUCAUGAGUCUAUAGCCUAAUAAAUAAACUCUUUCAUGAUACCACUCACAUGUUACUAUCCAUUAUGGAGAUAGUAACAUAGACUAGUAACAUCGCCAAGUUACUACUCUAUGUUACUCCCCACUGUGAACAGUGGGAGGAUGCGGCAUGGUUUCACGUUUCCUGCUGCCAGCCCUUGGAGCGCCAUCUUCUGGUGACUUCCGUUUGUGCGGAUUCGGAAUGAAUAAUCGAGAAGCACAUGCAGAGUAUUACUUACUACUGUACUCUAUUUGCGAACAGAUUAUUGGUACAACAAUUGCAACUUGCAGCCAUUUUUAAAAUACAAGAGGUCGACGACUUGAUGAGGUCCGUGGGUCAUCGAUUCUUAUUACAAGAGCAUCUUCAACAAUCGCGCUAAAAUAAUGCCGCGUCGCAAAAUUAUCCAUUUUAGCACGCGCAAUCGGUAUAAUGGCUCCAGCAAGUGCGCAAAAAUCGCGCGCGCGGCAUAUCUAGUUCAGCGUGCGGGCCGAAACUGCAUCGCGCGUCGCUUAUUUGCUAUCUCUGCGCGCUGUACCCCCUCUCCAGCCACGGCGUCGCCGCCGCCCGCGCCAUCCGGCAACCGUUCUGGCGCUUCCCCGGCAUAUCCCCGCGCCGUGGCGGCUUCAUCCGCCCCCCUCUAGUCACCGCCGCCCCUCGCGCGUGUCCAUCCUCCGACGAACAGCGCCCGGGCGCUCGCUGCCGCUCGGCGCCCGCAAGGUGUUCGACAAAACGCCUGCAAGGUAUGUAUUGCUCAAACUUCAUGAAUUUGAUGUAUGUUGACUGUAGUUUUUAUAGCAUAGUAUUGAACACUGUAGAUGAGUUCGUGGUAUGAUUCUUUCGAAGAAGAAUUUGAUAUGGAACAGGAGGAUCUUGCAAUGAUCCUAGCUAUGCACAUCAAUAAAAAACCGAAGCACGGUGGUUAGGUUAUGGGUCGGUAGAAAAUUUGGAGGGAUAUGAUUGAUGUCCAUAACAGAUUGAUGAAGCACUAUUUCGUGGAGAAUCCCACAUACCCGGAGUCGUACUUCCGUCGCCGGUUUAGGAUGAGCACUGAGUUGUUCAGGCACAUUGCAGAGAAACUAGUGAGCCAUGACCGGUUUUUUCAGCAAAGGAGGAAUGCCGCCGGAGAGCUCGGGCAUAGCACCUUUCAGAAGGUGACAGCCGCUUUACGUAUAUUGGCAUACGGUAUCCCGGCUGAUUUAGUUGAUGAUCACUUGGCUAUGGGUGAGAGCCGAGCCAUCAUGUGUGUCAAGCGCUUCGCAGUCGGAAUUGUGUAAGUGUUUGGCAAGGAGUAUUUGAGAUCUCCCAAUGCUGAAGACGCCGCAAGGCUAUUGGAGAUGAACAAAGCUCGCGGCUUCCCAGGUAUGCUUGGCUCAAUAGAUUGUAUGCAUUGGGGUUGGAAGAAUUGUCCAAAGGCAUGGCAUGUGCAAUUCCACGGCCAAAAAAAGGGUUCCACUAUAAUCCUUGAAGCGGUGGCCGAUCAAGAGACUUGGAUUUGGCAUGCAUUCUUUGGAAUGCCUGAAUCUUUGAAUGACAUCAAUGUUGUCAAUCAGUCACCACUGAUGAAUAAGAUUGCAAAUGGUGAUUUGUCAUCGGUGUAGUUUAUAGCAAAUGGCCGUACAUACAACUAUGGCUAUUAUCUAGCGGAUGUCAUCUAUUCAAAGUGGCAAACCUUUGUGAAGCCAUUAAAAAAGCCGGAAGGUAAGAAAAAUCUUGAUUUCCACAAUGCUCAGGCGGCGGCUAGAAAAGAUGUGGAGAAAGCUUUUGAGAUUUUGCAAGCCCAAUUUGCUAUUGUGAAAGGACCGGCUAGAUUUUGGGAUCAGAAAAUGCUUUGGUACAUCAUGCACGCUUGUGUGAUCAUGCAUAACAUGAUCAUCGAGAAUGAGCGUGGCCAAGAUGUAGACUAUUCUCAGUAUGACCUUUUGGGACAUCCCGUGCGAGUGCGACGGAGGGCUAAAAGGGUGCCCCGUUUUGUUGUCUCCUAUCAUGCCAUUCGACGUCCCGCAGCGCAUGAUGAUUUUCAGAAGGUUCAUUGAGGAGUGGUGGGCAUGGAAUGAACGACAAAGAGCAUCAUAAUUUGUGUGUUCGAUAUUGUAUUGUUGAACUAUUUGUUGUAUCGAACGAGAAACUGUUUGUUUGAGUUGUAAUAACGAAAUUGAACUAUUUAUUUUGAUUUAUUUUGUUUGUGUUUGAUCUUUUUGUUUCUGUUUUGAAAUGCAUAUGUUGUUUGUGUGAGAGUCACGCGCGCUGCUGGAGCUGCGCGCGUGCUGCAUUUUAGCGCGACUGCUGGAGCCAGCGUUGCACACCGCGCCAAACCAGACGAUAGGCGCGCGGCAAAGUAGUUUUUAGCGCGCGACGCGUUCGACGGCUGUUGGAGAUGCUCUAAGGCGAUGGUCAACCAAGAGCUUAAUUGGAAGACAGAAGAGGUGUAUACAUCCCAUCAUGCAUUUUUCAGACCGUGGAUUGAUCCUAUCAUGUCCAUUCUUCUCAAGUUCAUUGCAAGCAGCACUGCACCUUGAGAAAAUAGAUACUAAUGUCAAAAACCCUUUUAUAUUAUGAGACGAAAGGAGUAGAUAGCUAGCCAGGCUGCAAGGUCUACCGUUCGCCUCGCCGCUGAUUAGAGCAAGAUUCCGGCCAAGCAUGGAGCAAGAGCCUGAUCUGCCCGGAGAAGUGCCUCUGCUCGGAAGAAGCCGAGAAGUGAUCCGGCCCACUGAAGCGGGUGCGGCCAGAAAAGAGGUCGCUUAACUAUUACUAGAUCGGCAACGCGCCUUGACGCGAGGGUGCCGGUCCAACCGAUAUGCCAAGCGAUGGAAGAUCAAACCGCAUGAUGCAUCAGUAGGAAGCAAGUUUAGCACAUGUAAAAUGUCAACAACUGAUUUUCUGGUUCAUGAGAAAGAAUAAACAUUCCAGAAGAGUAACAUCAUCGAGUUCAACAAAAUCAUGAGAUUGUAAAAAUUAAUCCACCCCAGAAGUAGCGCAACAUCAAGUUCAAUGCAUUCAUGAGAUUACAAAAACAAAUUAGCUCACAUUAAGUUCAGUUAUACGAGUAGGAACAUAAGAGAGCAAAAGCUACCACAACGGCAAUGGAGGCUCUUGGUUCAAUUGCCUCCAUGAGUGCUAUUCCAUUAUGAUGACCACAUAAUGGUUUUGUAUAGAAAAUGCACUUGUGAUUUCCCUCUAAAACGUAUGUACAAUGAGCGAUGGUAUCCCUUCUAAUCUUGAAGGCGAUCGCCUUCGCCAACGGAUGGAUCAAGGCGCCCCUCAUCUGCUGAGCUCCGGUCGAGCUCUCCUCCUUCCUCUUCCAGCGAGAGACAUGACUUGCUUCCAUUCUAUAGAGAUUGUUGUAAAGCAUUCAUUUCUUCAGAGAUCUUUAUAUAGUAGAGUCACCAGCUGCUCUACAUUCACGAUAGCAUCUGGUUCUGUAUUAAACUAAAGGCCCUGACAUUUGUUAAGCUUGUGAGCAGCUCCCACAGUUCAAGAUCAAUCAAUCAAGAAUUUGGGGGAAAGCUAAAUGGCAUCGGUACCAGCAACUACAAAUUUCAACCAAGUAGGCAAGAAUCUACACAUAAGAUGUCACAAAUAUAGCAAUUUUCCUCAAUUGCUUCAUUUGUAAUAGAACACAAGAGGUUUACAGUUAUAUAACUCUGGCCAGUUAUGAUGAAUAGAUGUACAUUAGAUGCUUUAAGGUCCAAGUUUUUCUGGUUGGAGCACCGAAUGCUCACAGAAUGAAAGAAAGAAGAGAAAAUGCAUGGUGUCUUUAUUUCUUAUCUUCUAGGUCUAAUUGACAGUUCACUGAUUGUUGCUAAACCGUACCAGUAACUAUUCUACUUACCAAGUACAUAACCUUUCAGUAUCUCCCUAAUGUUGCACUUUGCUACUCGAAAGGUUAAAAGAACAAGGGAAUCAAACUGCAAGUAAACAUAGCUCUCCUAGCGAUAGAAAUAUACUAUCAAAUCUAAGGGUGUACUACAUUUGAAAGCAUAGUUUCAUGAUAAGAGAAGUGAAAAAAUGAAAGAAAUAUAUGUAAAGAAAAUUGAGUAUACCUUCCCCUGAAGGUAUCCAUCUCCCUGAAAUUAGUCCCAAAGAGUUGGUUCAAUAAGGUACUCUUUCCUGCUCAAAAUAGGAAUAUGAUUAAUCUUAUGUCAACUAAAUUCUGAAGUACGUACUGUCGAUUUGUGAUAAAGGGCAGGAAGUCCACAACUCACACUUAUCAUCCAAGAAUACAUGUUUAAGUUCAGUAUUAUACUAUCAGUGAAAUGAUGAAAAUACGCAUUUUCCAGUUAAAUGUCAGAGAAGACUAACAAAUAACCCCCAGGAGAAAGGAUAUACAGUGCAAUUAUAAUUAAUUGUUCAUCAGUGGACUCUGAUUCUUAGAUGUCACUCGUGUUAGCAAGUGAAGGGCUUCAAAAUAGAUAUGCACGGACACACUACUUUUACAAUAAACACAUGCCACCAAGUCGGGGUUGCAAGGAUCAAUGUAAAUGUAGCAUUAAUCACCAAAAACAAAUUUAGCACCAACAAUGUAUGAAGUCUGUCCAAAACCAUGAUAUACUUGUAGGCAAAAAUAGUGAGGCUGCGGUCGAUCCACAUGCAGCUGCAAAUAUAACCAGUGUGCCUCACUAUAGAAACGGUGAGUGUAGAAUUUUGUCAUUGACAUUAGAAGUUAAAAGAAAAGGACCGCAUCCAGAAACAAAAUCACCAUAAUUGUUGAAUAAAGAGUUGAGGAAAUCCGCAAAAACAUGAUUCUCGCUUGAAUGUAACCUACUUCUAGUAAUGUGAUUCCAGUCUGUAAAUACUAUGGAUUUACUGAAAGUUCUAAGCCUCUAAUUAUUAUUUACAAAGUUACCACCUGAUUAUCAGUUUGGACAAAGUUGCAUGAUGAAUACAUAUCAAACAAAUACUCCUACUCCUAGAUUGUCACAUGACCUGUUAUUAAAGAUGAGGUGUGUAUACCAGAGAAAAAUCAUGUAAAAAACAUUAACCCAUACAGGAAGCAACAUAAACUUACAUUGUUCUGUGUUUAACCUGAUUGAGUGAAUAAAAAAACACUGUAUGCCUCUGUCUUUUAGCAGCCUCUGCAAUUCAUCAAAACUACACCAAUAUAAAAAGUAAGAAUAGCAGUGUAACAUGGUUCUAUAUUCCAAAGAAGUAUGCAUCACGAUCACUAUACAAUUGUGUAUAAAGAAACACCAUGCAACGACAAAAACAGUAAACAUUUGGAAAUAAGAUACAUGGCACACACAUGCAUAAUUACUGUGUCUGAAUUAUCAAGAAAUACUAUGCAACUACACACAUAGUAAACAUUUGGAAAUUAGAAAUACAACAAACCCAUGCAUAAAUGAUGUAUAUGAAUUCUCGACCUUACAGUAGUUGGUAUGCCCUCUAUACAUUUGCUUUCUACUCAUCAACAAUUCACAUAUAAUUAGCCUCUAGUAUCAACCUACAAAAUCAGUCUACGUGGCUGACGGCGCUGAUCAUCUGGUUUUACUUUUAAAAUAGAACUGAAGAUUUUUUUCGUCCUUGCAAUUUGUAAAAACUACAGUAUUGCGAUCACUUUCUAAAAAAUAGCGUAUGCAGAAAUGAAAAUGAAUCAUGACUAACUAUUGGCAUAUAGCGAGACACUGGCACAUGAAUGAAUCAUCCGACUCUGUUCAGCGAUUAUUUGCCACACUUUCUCAUUAGUCAUUACUAACACAACCUAAACAGCACAUGCAGAGAUGAUGUUGCCGGUGCAAGAAAAAAGCGAAUCAAAUUUGCAUUUAUCCUGCAACAGUGUUAUAAACUACACAUAUUUGUCCUGCCAACAACAAUAAGCAAUAACAGCAAAAAUGCAAUUCGUUUAGGGGAACAAUGCAAUGCAAAUUUAAUGGCCUAAUUAACAUUUAUAAUAUGAUAAAUCAUGCAACAAUAGUUAUGGGACGACACUCAGCUCCAUAAGAUGAUGAGACUAAUGGUUUUCUUAUGUUUCUCUCCAUGAUGGUGAUGAUGAAGAAGAAGAAGAAGAAGAAGAAGAAGAAGAACACACCUCUUACUCUCUUGCAUAUGACCUCCUUGUAAGAAUCAUUGAAGAGCCCGAGAAGCUCGUCGACGGCGGGGAAAACGGGUGGCGCAGCAUUGAGCAGGGGCGGCGACGACAGCCAGACCACCUCGAGCACCACGGUCCAGAAGCCAAGAGCAUGAGCAGACCAAAAUCAGAAUGGAUUAACCAGGAAACCCUAGACAGAUCCCUAGAAAACAACAAAGGCCUUGAUGAGCACAUACACAUCACAAAGAGAAAGACAAACAAGGGAGCAAAUAAUCACCUCAGCCAUCUCAGAAGCCCACUCGGUGUGCUCCCUCUCCGGUCGACCCGCAAGACAGCCCCAGCGCCACACCACCGUCCCAACCAUGAAACAGACAGAGAAGGAAGAUGGUAAAAAACAAGCGAAAUAAAAUAUAGGAACGAUGAGCGAAAGGAAAGCCACCUGAAGAACGGUUCCUGCUCGGAGUUUCCUUUUGUUAACAUGGUUCUUGACAAUGGUGGGAGGCACAAAUGACAUAAUGAUUUGGAUAGAUUAGUCAAGGGUAGUGAGGGCCAAUAAAAGAGUGUUAUUACAAUACUUAGUUCACAAUUCAAUUGCAAGUUGCAACUGGAAAUGUGCAAUCCUAUGUCUUACACUAUAAAACAUUCCACUUUGCUUCUCAUUUAGUUUUGUGUUUACAGUGAUACUAAUUGUGCUCCCUGCUCGCCCCAGAUGAAUAUAUGCAAAAUAGUUGUCUGUGGCGGUUUUUCUUUUGGUUUACACAAGCAAUAAAGAGCAAUUAGACAUGACACUUCUUUCCCAGCCUUGAUUAUUUGCUUCCUGUGCAUGCCUUAUAGUAUUAAAUAUUAAAUACAUGGUUCAUCAGGGGCAUAUAGAUAGAUGUGUUCAUCAGGCAUGUCCUAAAUGAAACGGAGCAAUGUUGGAUAUAAACAACAAAUAUAAAAAAAUACUCAGCUCCAAUACAAACAUUAACCAGCCUAAAGACGAUGUUAUUAGAAACAGGACACUGUGGUUUCUGCUGGUUUAUCAACAAAUUAAAACAAGACAUUCAACCGACAACUUGCUGGGAGCGAGUCUUCUAGCAUAACAAUGUGCAACUUACUCUUAACCAGAUGAAAUCAAGGUCCAACAACAAACAAUAAAAGAUCAAGAACAACUUUUAUGCAAUAAAGAUAUGAAAGAGAAGAAAUCUUUACAUAAGACAGCUAUAAACACUCGAGCACAAAUAAGCAACACCUUUAAAUACAAAUAAAAGGGGUUAAGGGUUCAUUGCAUAGUGGGCUCAGAUUCGCCUUUCCUCGAUCAUAUAACCUAUCCCCAUCAUCUCUUAUCACCAGAUCAAUCAGUUUAUACAAUGGAGCUGCCCUGGUUAUCACUCAACAAGAAUGACCAUCCAAGGACAGAUCAAUAGGUAUCACAGGAUCAAGAAGGAUUCUAGAGACAAGAGGGAGGAUCCAACUUGAUACCCACAGGUGCCUUGAUUGCUCAAAAGCAUACUUAUUUCAGCCACGGUUAAUCAUCAUUGCCCUAGCACGAACACCAUUGAUCAAUUUAGCAAAUCCAGGAGCAUAGCUACAGGACCAGGGCACCCACAUGUAACCCAGAGCAUCGCACGAGCUCCUAUGAUAGCAACUGAACAUGAACAGCAGCCUGCAAACCCUAGAAUAGCAUGGAUCCACUACUACAGAGCUCAAGUACGAACCGAUGCAUGAGUAGGGCAUAGAGCAACAACCAUACGAGCACCACAUGAACAUAGCCACGACCUUGUCCCAUACAGUAGCCGAAGUAGAGGAGCAGGAGGAAGACGGAGCUCACCAAGGGUGGUUGUAGCCGAGGAGAGAGGCGGCUAGGUCAUCUCCACGAGAGCGGGGACGCAAUUUAUACGCGCAAGCGUGAAAUGACGAAAAUGCCCCCGACGGGGCAGGCUAUUUACAUGCGGUGGCACGGUCGAGGUGAAACUAUUCAUUCCUACAGUACCAGGAUCUGAUCCAACAAGCGAGGUCGUUCCAGGGGUUGAUCUGACGGCCCAGAUCGCAUCAAGCAGCCAGAUCCAACGGCCAGGAAUCCAAAUCGCUGAGGAGGCUUGUAGGAACAUCCUUCUCUUCUUUCUGGAUGGAUUCUCGAUAAAUAAGCAACACCUUUAAAUACAAUAAAGAGGGUUCAGGGUUCAUUGCAUAGUGGGCUCAAAUUCGCCUUUCCUCGAUCAUAUAGCCUACCCCGUCAUCUCUUAUCACCAGAUCAAUCUGUUUAUACAGGGUAGCUACCCUGGUUAUCACUCAACAAGAAUGACCAUCCAAGGGCAGAACAACAAGUAUCACAUGAUCAAAAAGGAUUCUAGAGACAAGAGGGAGGAUCCAACUUGAUACCCACCGAUGCCUCGAUUGCUCAAAGGCACACUUAUUUCAGCCAAUGUUAAUCAUCAUCGCCCUAGCACUAACACCACUGGUCAAUUUAGCAAAUCCAGGAGCAUAGCUAUACGACAUCCACAUGUAAACCAAAUCAUUACAGGAGCUCCUAUGAUAGCAACCAAACAUGAACAACAUCCUGCAAACCCUAGAAUAGCAUGCAUCCACAACUACAGAGCUCAGGUAGGGACCGAUGCAUGAGUAGGUCAUAGAGCAUCAACCAGACAAGCACCACAUCAAUAUAGCCACGACCAUGUCCAAUAUAGUAGCCGAAGCAGAUGAGCAGGAGGAAGAUGAAGCUCACCGAGGGAGGUUGUAGCUGAGGCAGUACUCAGUGGGCACCAGGGUCGCGCCUGAACGCCGUCCAACCGGCAAGGAACCGCUUCCUACACUGCACAUCCACCACGCGACCGCGUCGGAGUUGUGCCUUGCACCGUCCCGCCGACGAGCACGAACGCCAUGGUCACAUAACUCUCCUUGAAAACCACAUACAUAUGCACACAUGCUCUCAUCUAUUAGUAUAGUAAUAUAUACAUAGAAAUUGCUAGUUGCUUCAAACCAAAAAAACUUAAUUCAUGCAUUCAUUGCCCUUUUUCACACAGAAUAAUGCAUCAAAUCCUAUGACUCAGAAGUUGUUGAUCAUAGCAGGCCAUGUCGCUCGUCUUGACACCAACGUGUGUUGUUAAUGAGACCAAAAACUAUGUUAAAUGACAAUGGCCAAAAUCAGGUACAUGUUGGUAACAGCAAAUAACAUGAUUGGUAAGCUACAUCAGUAAAAUAACCACAGAAUAUCUGUUGCACGCUACCAUGUAUUUCUGAAUCACAAUGAGUUCACAAAUUUUGUGCACAGGAGAUGGCAAAGGAGCAUCCACUUGUUUUCAGUUACUUAUGAGUGGAACCACCGGCUUCUUCAACGAUCGGGAAUCAUAAUGGUAGCAAAUCAGCAGCAAACCAAGCAGCUGCACUACAACUACACCUGCUUAUACAUCAUUAAAACCUGACAACCAGGUGUUGUAUAUCUGACUACACCCCACUUAAAACCUGACAACUCCGCUUUAUUAAACACAACAACCAUGUAUUUAUAAAAAAAUGGCAAUCACCCCCUUGUCACGGAUAGCAAAGUAUAUUCGCGGCAACUAUGGGUUUAUAAACAUGGCAAGGUCAUAUGAAAAAACACAUGACAACAAGGUAUGAUUAAUCUGACAACCACUCAAUGGUUAAUAUGGUCAAAACAGUAAAAAAACAUGGCAACUGCUGACAUGGACUAUCAAAUUAAACCCCCCCUUGCACUGAAAUACACUCCUAAGAAAUAAAAAAUGGUAGUUAUAUUCGAAACAAUUAUGGUUUGUGUCUAGAGGAAACAUCACAAAAAAAUAUCUCACUAAAACAGAAAAGGUUGGCAGUUGUGUAGUCGGCACACACCUUAUUGUCUGUCCGCCUGCCCCUUGCAUCCGGAUCCAGCUUUCUUCCUACUUGGCAUAUCGACACCCCCUCCCCCUGUUUAAGAAAACACACAGAGGAGGAAGAAACACACCAUGAGAGAGGGAGAGAGGGCACUUCUCACAUAACCAAUAUGCAAUUCAGGUUAGCUUCUCCCCAAGGAUCAAAUGCAUGCAUUUUGUUCAGGUAAAAAGCUACUGAUGUUGCCUGGAAAAAGCAAGGUAACUAUUGGCAGGAAUAAGAUAAGCUUGACACUAUAGAUAAACUACAAGACCGAGGAUUCUCAUGAUGAUAAAAAUAUGUUGAGAUGUAGAGAAAAGGAGACAGGAAGCAGCAAUGAUGACACAAAUAAACAUAUUCCAUUCACGGGACUGUAAACACCAAACCGGUGACUACAUCUAGUUCAUCAAUCAACUGGAAUAAAUAAAAGUAGCAGCAGCAUCUCUAAUCAGCAAAAAAAACUCCUAGUUCACCGUCAGACAACUGGAAAAUAAAAGGCAUCAGCAUAGACUUGUAUAGAUAAACAUCAGCAACGACAUAGAAGGCGAGGACAAACAUGCAUAGAUAGACAGUAGCAGCAGCCUAAAACUUGCACAUAGCCUCUGAACUGAAUAAGUCAGGCGGCAACAUAAAGCCUGAAAAUCUGCAUAUGGAAGAAAACAACAAGCCUAAGCCACCGUCGCCACCUCCCCUGGGGUACGGCCCCUCCCACGAGCCCAUCAACAGAAACAAACUCCAGCUCGCCCCCAUGCACCUAGGCACGCCCCGCCGUGGUCACCAUGCUGUACAGAAGCAUCACCAUGCUCUCCUACGUCCUGUACAUCAACGCCCCUUCCUUCGCCACACGCCGGUCGUGAACCAUCCGCCCCAUCAAACGCGCCUGCACCUCUCUAGCUAGCACAGUCCGCCUCACCCGCCAUGGCGUGGUUCCCCCUACAAACCCCCCAUCGCUCCACCACAUGGCAUCGAUCUGCAACCGCCGCUCGCUCCCCGCCGAACCACGAGAGAGGGAAAAAAGUGCGCGAGGUACAAACAAUGCAUCAGGGUGGACUCACCGGAGUUGCCUGCACGCCUGCAACGGAUGGGAUCUAGGAGGGAGUUGCCGCCCAUGCCCUUUCUUGAAUCCGGUGAACCCGAGGCAGAUUGAUGAUGACGAACAACACCUCUUUCGUGUUGAUGUCGGCGGUCCAGUCGCGCCGGGCAACAAGCAGGCGGCUGCCGGAGGCGAGGUCGACCUCCACCACCGAAACCCUAGCAGGGGGAAAUUGAUGGGGGCGACCACAGGAGGCGAGGAAAAGUGGAUCGACGCGGUAAAGCUAGUAGAGCUGCAACCGCGUGUGUGCCGGGCGGCGACGGAGCGGCCGGAAUCGGCCGGCGUCCGAGGCGGCGAGCAGUGGGGAUCGAGCGAGUGGCCAGGAGGGGGGACGGGAGGAAGAGGAGAGGGGCUGCGUGAGUGCGGGGGAGAGGCGGCUAGGUCAUCUCCACAGGAGCGGGGACGCAAUUUAUACGCGCAAGCGUGAAAUGACGAAAAUGCCCCCGGCGGGGCAGGCUAUUUACGUGCGGUGGCACGGUUGAGGUGAAACUAUUCAUUCCAGCAGUAACUUUUUUUUAUCCGACGGACGAGGUCGUUCCAGGGGUUGAUCUGACGGCCUAGAUCGCAUCAAGCAGCCAGAUCCAACAGUCAGGAAUCCAAAUCGCUGAGGAGGCUUGUAGGAACAUUCUUCUCUUAUCUCUUGAUGUGCUCGGCCAGACGUACGUACGGUUUGAUGGCCGUAACGGGCUUGGGCUACCUGGCGCUCCUGGUGCCUCACAGUUAUUAGCAUGUAAGCCCUCAAAAAAAAGUUAUUAGCAUGUUACAAGCAUCCAGGUAAUUAAUGGCAUAUCCUACUCUGUAAAUUAGAGUUCACAUUGCUUUUCUUUUACCGAGCACCAAAUGAAUGUUAACGAGGCUGACGACUGGGACCCUGACUAUGCAUUUGCUAUGGCGCACACAGGAUCUUGAACGACUUGGAGGACAACCUGUCCCUUAAUUUCGCCCAACUGUACAUCAACGCUACUGCAUAUUUUGUGGGAAUCAGUCAGAAUCUUAGGAAAAAAGUUCAUGCUAAAAAGCUGUCUCCGCGCCGCUACACUGCCAUUCAAUCGUUUUUUCCCUUCCUAUGUUUUCCUGUCAUCUGCAUGAUUGUGGUCUUAGUGAUCCUUAGUGUGCAUUUACACUUACGGGCGUAUGGUCUGCGUGGCGCUCUCAUUGUGGCGCAUAAUACAGCGUGAUUAUGGACACACGAGCGAAAUGCUGGCGGGACCCUGCGUCCAUCCGUGGCAGGAAAUUGAUCAACUAUGCCGUUGAGUUGCUGGACUCUGAAUCGCAGCAAGACUACCUCUCGGGAGCAAGAAUACUCGACGCCUUCAUUAAGCUGGAGGCAGAUGUAAGAUCACUUGUUGUUCCCUCAAGGCCAAAGAUUCAGAAGCUGAUCGAUACACUGGGGUGGAGAAGCAGCGAUAGAGAGAUCAGGGAGCUCGCCGCCAGGAUCGUCGCCUAUCUUGCAGGUGACAUCCAUCUAACCCAGUACCCUGGGGCAAUACAGUGCAUAUCCUCCCUGCUCGAUACCAGCCUGCCAUAUUGGAACAACCAACAAGGACACAAUCAUUGCUCAACUCAAAUUAAGUUAAAAGAUCCUAUGAAUGCUAAAGACAGAUUGAUUUUCAGUGUUAGGCGCAUAGAGAAACGCAGAGCAAAAAAGGCUAAAACACAAGAGGGUGACGCUUAGCAAGAUGAAGUGGAUAUCCCAAUCCAUGGCAGCAAAGGAGAUGCCUGGAACGAGUUAAUUCUGCAAGGCAUGACAAUUCUCGAGAAGCUCGCGGGCGACCAGCACAACUGUGGCGACUUAUGCAGCACCCCUGGUCUCCUUCCCAAGAUCAUGGCGCCUCUUCACUCCGAGACACUAAUCCAAGAUAUUAGUAUAAAUACCUGGGCAGAUAUUGUAAACGGAUCCUUGAAAGUGGUUCACAUGCUCAUCCGUGCUCCUGAGUGGACAGGCAGAAGGGUGCACUCAGAAAUAUCUUCUAGCAAACAUGCAAUGAACAACCUUGGGGAAAUUCUUGAUGAGGGCAACGGAAAUGUCGAAGAACUGCAGAUGCGAGCCAAGGAAAUACUGACAGAAUUGGCUUUGGAUAUGCAAACCGAUCUCAGCAGCAAAACAAAAGAAAAUCUCAUCUAGAAGGCACAAUUUGAGGGUCUCACAUCGCCCGAUCCCGUUCACUCUGUAUGGAGGGUUUGGGCCACCCCUCGGUGCAAGUUCUUUGCUUAGCUAGUCCUUCAAAAUAGGAUUUGGACAUCGGAUCGUCUCAUACGUCGCGGAUGGCCAAACUAUGGCCUCUGCCCACUUUGUAAGCAAUGUCAGGAGUCGGCAGCCCACCUUCUCUUCCAAUGCCGCUUCACCAUCCGCAUUUGGAACCAUAUUCUUAUGUGGCUUGGCAUGCACCACAUUUCUACGGCGAUAUGGCAGACGAGGACUUCGGUGAAAGACUGGUGGAACGGCAACCUUCAGAUUCGCCUUGGCUCCCCUAAGGCGCUAGCCUCCUUGAUGAUGCUUAUCUCAUGGGAGAUAUGGACAGAGCGUAACGCUAGGGUCUUUCGAAACAUGGCCAUCCCUUCCAUGGUCCUAAUCUGUAAGAUCAAAGAAGAGGUGUCUCUUUGGGCAGUGGCGGGUGCAAAGCACAUGAGUGUUGUAAUACCGCGAGAGUAGACAUUUUAUUUUGCCGCCUUGCGGCCCUUGUUCGAUAACUCCUUUCUUAAUCAAUGAAAUGGCAAAUCUUUUGCCUUCUUUCAAAAAAAAGAAAAAAGAAAAUCUCAUCGAGAAGCAGCUGCAGUACUUCCUUACUGAUGGAAAACCGGAAGAAAAUGACACCAAGUUCGUCAUGGAAGGGCUGAAAGUAACGGCUGGUAAAACAUUGGCACUACUAUCCAAGACAGCAACUAUGUCUGGGCUUGUAGUGAGGGAAUAUGAGAACAUUGUUGAAUUACUUGAUGCUAAGAACAAGAUCAUAUACAGCACAAUAGCAGCAGAGAUCUUGGAGAAUUUGUGUAGUCGUCAUCAAAUGGACAAGGAACAUGUGAAGACUAUCUUGCUGCCAAAGGUAACUGUUUCAACCCAUUUAUCUAAUUCAAACAUCUACUAGAUCAGCACAACACUAACAAGUGGAAAACAGAGAACUGUAACUAUACACUUAAUUAUAUUAAUUGAUUUUUCGCAAAAAGAAAAUAUACUAAUUGAAAAGUUCCCGCUGGCCCGCUGCCUCACAUUUACUGGUCUCGUUUUUAUUAUUGCAGCUACUCACAGAGUGUGUUGAACAGCCAAAUAGAACCCCCAACCGAAGCAUCUCAAAGCAAUGUUUCUGCAUCGGGCGAUGAUGCAGAGCAGCAACAACUUUGUAUACUGGGAAAUGAUGAAGAAAAAAAACUUUCGGACCACAGGAGCCAAACUAAGUUAACCGAUCAAGCAAAUGAGGAGCAAACUGCUAUGAUGGAACUGCAAGAGGCGUUUUUAUCUCUUACUUUGGCGAUAUGCAGCGAACUGAUCAGUGCAGAUGACUUCAAUGUCGUGGCUCUAACGAUCGUCCCAGCAGAAGGUGUAUUUGUGGCGAAGCUCAAGACUAUAGUAGAAGAGAACUGUGAGGCCACGGCUAACAGCCUAAGAAUCGUCAAGCUUUGCGGUCGGAUUGCUGUUACAGUGAUGCGGCACGGCCAGUACAGCGCGCACUUCAAGAAUCAGAAAUUCAUGGAGACACUGUCCAAGGCUCCGGGAAUCAUGUCUAGCCUUGAAAGCUACAUGCUCUUCGCUGGGACUGAUUGUGGAGCGAAGAAGACCGCCAGGCCCCUCCUCUCUUGAUCUUGUGAAGGAGGCACAAGCGUUGGUUGCUUAAAAAUGUAUUUUUGAUCGUGAUUUUCUACCAUUGUUUUUUUUUAUGAAACGUUGUCGGAGCAGCUUUUCUUUUUCAUUUAUAAGAGGAAAGGUGUUACAAGUAUUUGGUCGGAGCAGGCCGCUAUACAUCCACUAUGCCAACAGCCGGCAACCCAGCAACAUACAUCAGCACAUAAUUCAGUCUGGCUCUCGAGGUCUGUCCAAAAGCAGCUGAAUCCUAUGACGCCCAGCCUGGUUCCAUAUCCUAAAUUUAAUCAAUCAUCAAGUUGAAGACCGUGCUGACGGUGGACGCCUUGCUUUGGAAAAUCCGGGCAUUCCUCUUGCACCACGUGAACCACCAGAUUGCCACUGCCAGACCGCCCCAGCCCUUUGAGUUGGUCAGGUUAGUGUUCACCAUUGUGAUGUCUUAUUUCUCUAGAUCAAACAAUCUGUGUCGUAUUUCCCUUGGAAACAUUGCCCUCGGGCUGUUUCAUUUCUCAAAGAAGGUUGUGUUGGUGAAAUUGUACACAUGUUUAUGGAACAAGUAAGUUGCUAUGUUAUAGCCAGUUUCUACCUGCACACAAAAAAAUUGUGAUCUAAUGAUGUUUCCGUUGGAAUGCCAUCAAUGCUACGAACUAAUCUUGUUUCUAUUAUGAUGAAAUGUACCCAAAUCUACCAGCCUGAUGACAAGGCAUCAACUCAAAACAAGAGCAAGGACGGUGGAGAUGGGGAUUCACUUAGGGAUUUUUCUCCGGAGAGUGCAGCGGCGAUGAGGCCAUUCCGGCUGGCAUCCCCACCGGCAAAAUGGGAACUGGCCGAGAGCUUGUCGAGUCAGCGUGUGGCGGAGGAUGGAAGGAGUGCGUGCGGCGGAUGGACUGGGGGGAGGAAGAGCGCCGCCCUGGUGACUUCCGCGGUUCGUCCGGCGGCCGCUAGGGUUUCCGUCAUCCCCAAUUCCGGUAUGAAACCCCAACCCCGCACAAGAUGGGAUAGCUUGAACAGAACCAAAAUUUCAACCCUCCUUUACACUGAGCAACCAGGAGCCGCGUGGCACGUACAAUUUCGGCCUUCCUUUCCACCGCCAGGCUCUACGCGCCGCCGCCCUCGUCACCGAUGCCCAGGAGCCGCCUACUCGGCUACUCCUCACGCUGAUCCGGCGACGCGCGGCGAGCAGGAUGAGGCAGGUGCCUUCCGUGUGUGUGCCCUCGAACGGCAAACCAUUCCUCUGAUUGCUUCAGGUCGCAGGUGAUUUUUUCUUUUCCUCAAAAAGAGGGAAAAACAAUCGGCCUCUGCAUCGAGUGUCAGGUUGCAAGGGAGGGAUGAUUCGCAAAUAGAGCACCAACAUUCAAGUAUGAUAGUUUACUUACAGUCUUAAUUGUUCGGUAUCUACGACUGCGAGAAUACUGAUCGAUUGUUCUUAACUGAAGUCCAAUGCGUUGAGUGUACAUAUGAACUCUGCCUAACCAUGUUCCAUAGGACAAGCUGAAUACUCUGCUGCAUUUUCAGCUAUUAUGCGGUGAAAAUGCCAUUCAAAACAAAUUAUGCGGAGAAAAAGAUAAUUGUAGUUUAGCUCUUAUUUCUUACACCAGCAUUGGUAUCUUUAAUCCUAACUAAAAAAAUUACAUGCAUCUAUGGCUUGGCGUUGGGUUUGGCUUGCAGCACCAAGUAGUCAGCUAGUUGCCCUUUCAGGCCUCUUUUGGUUCAUAGGAUAGGAUUAUCGUAGGAAUAGGAAUUUUGUAGGAAAUGAGAUGACAUGUAUCUUAAAUCCUAUGAGUAGGAAUAGGAAACGAGAUGUCAUUUGGUUGACACCAAAGGAAUUUUUCCAUUGAGUCUAGGCUCAUUUUUAUUUUCCCAUAAAAUGUGGAGGAUAGGAACCAAUCCUAUGUAGGAAUAAGAAUCCAUUCCUAUGAACCAAAGGGCUCUAAAGGAAAAAAUCCUAUAAGAAAUCCUAUCCUCUAGAAUUUCUAUGAAAUUCCUCCAAACCAAAGGAGGCCUCAACCUGUAAGCCACCCGUUUCUGAUCCCAUCCCCAUAGAAAGAGACGACGAAGCAAACCACAAAUGAAACUGCCGCAACCCAUAUAGCCGAGCCGUGAUCUUCGGUGCUUGUCAUCACGUCUGGAGCGUUGGCGGUAUUGUUGAGAAGAUCUGGAUUUCCCCUGGAAUCGACUGCCACAGAUGAUCGAAAUGCUGGAAGGGAUCCAGAGAGCUGAUUAUAAGAAAGCACCAGCUCUGUCAAGCUUUGCAAACCUUCGAGCGAGGAUGGUAUCGGGCCAGACAAGUCGUUAUAGGAAAUAUCAAGAAUCACCAGGUCCUUCAAAACGCCAAUAUUUGAAGGAAUAGAUCCACUGAGAUGGUUGUGACUUAGAUUCAGAAUUGCACUCAAGCUGGUCGGCAUUGUGGGGAUCACACCAGUGAGCUCAUUAUCCCCGAGAUGAAGCUCAAUAAGAAAUUGCAAUGAACUGAUUGAAGUUGGAAUGGCGCCAGUGAUCUUGUUGCCCUGCAAACAUAUGUUUGAAAGCCGCAGUAGCUGGAAAAUUUCAUGUGGUAUCUCUCCAGUAAAUGAGUUUUGGCUAAGGUCCAAUACAUUCAAGUUCACCAGAUCGACAAGUGCACUUGGUACAUGUCCGUCAAAAUUGUUCAUUUGCAGUUUCAGAACAGCCAUGCUAUCAAGUUUGCUGAUCUCAGUGGGCACUGUACCGUUCAACUGGUUGCUUGCCAGAUUCAAGAGAACCAACUUACUGCAUCUGCCAACAUGCCGGGGUAUGCCUCCCGCCAAGUGGUUAUUGUUCAGCUCAAGAUAAGACAAGCUUGAAUUGAGGCAUCACUAAUCGAGCCUGGGAUACUACCAUCGAGCAAGUUUCCUCCGAGAUGAAGGCGAUAGAGGCUGUGAGAGAAUCCUUGCGGUAUGUGCCCUUCAAGCAUGUUGCCGGUGAGAUCAACGGUAUGCAAACCAGCAGCCAAGAACAGAUCAGAAGGUAUCUCACCACUAAGCUUAUUGUAACUCAAAUCCAACAUCUCGGUAUUCAUGGUGAUUUCACUAGGUAUCAAGCCACUGAAGUUGUUGCUAGAUAACACCAGUUCCUUCAAAGAGUGGACCAUAUUUGUUGGGAGGCUGCCAUCAAGUGUGUUGGAACUAAGGUUCAAGCUUCUCAAUCUGGGCAAAGAACUCAACUGUUCGUCCACAUUUCCACUCAGCAAACUGAAGGAGAAAUCAAGAACCUCCAGUUUGCGGAAACCAGUGAAGUCGCCGAGCGGACCAGGCAACUGAGCGUAGCUCAGAUUGAGCGUGCGCAAUCUAGAACCCAAGAGGUAUGAGGAGAGCUGCCGUGGCAGAUCGGUGAACCUGUUUUUCGAGAGAUCCAGAGAUUCCAAGGUGUCAAGGGAGCAUAAGCAGGCAAGUACGGUGGAGUUGGAGAGGCCAAAGCGAGACAUGGAGAGGUGGAGCACAACUGCAGAUGAACCGGGGCGGUUAGACGGCACAGAGCAAGUGACCCCACUCCACAGGCACGGGUUCGGGUCGGUUGUGUCCCAGUGGCUCCACGGAGCCAUGGCGGAGAUCAUGCUUGAAAGGUUUCUCAUGGUGCUUUCCUGCGCUUUGUUUAGCCGUAGAGGUUGCACGCGGGCCAUGGACAAAUCAAACAGCAAGCAAAACAGCAGUGCUAGCAAUAACCCAUGGUGAGAACUUGAGCCAUACCUGCUCUUCUCCAUGGUUACCUCUUCUCUUCUGCAACCUACUGGGUCAGCUGUUUGCAGGUGGUGGUGUUGCAAAGGGCCUGAUCGAUCCACUACCAUACGUGCAAGAAGAUGGGUAGAAGAAGCAAUGGUAGAGAAAGUAGGAAUGGUCAGAUUAGUGGCGCAAGACCCCAUCUGCGGUGUAUACGAAGGGGGUUGAACUUUGACUCAAAGUGAUGUGGCGCCUCACAGCAUCAGGUUGGUAUCAAUCGUCAUCGUUACUGUUGGAUAAGUGAGCAACUAAGCUUUACUGAGGGCCAAUGGCCAGUACAUAUACAGAUGUGGUAAAGUGCAGAAAAGCCCCUUAUACAAUGGGGAUGUACACAAUGAACUAUACACAUCUAACACCCCCCCUCAAACUCAUGGUGGAUCAACAACACUGAGUUUGGAGAGGAAAAACCCAUGCUGUGCUCGAGUCUGUGCCUUCGUGAAGAAGUCAGCCAACUGUAACUCCGAGGGCACAUAGUGAAGAGCGAGAGUCUGAUCCUGCACAGCAACACGCACAAAGUGGGCAUCCACACCGAUGUGCUUGGUGAGUUCAUGCUUCACCGGGGCACGCGCAAUACUGAUAGCACCGGUGCUGUCAGACAGUAGAGGAAUGGAGGUAGUAGCAGACACACCAAAAUCCUCAAGUAACCACCGUAACCAGAUCAUCUCAGUCGUCAACAUAGCCAUGGCUCACAACUCAGCCUCUGUGCUCGAGCGAGAAACUGUAGUCUGCUUCUUUGUCUUCCAGGCAAUAAGAGAGCCACCAAGAAAGACACAGUAAGCAGACAGCGAGCGUCGAUCAAAGGGAUCACUGGCCCAGGUAGCAUCAGAGUAGGCCUGGAGCUCAAAAGAGAUGGAGUGGGGAAAGAAAAGGCGCUGAGGGAUCGUGCCACGAAGAUAUCGUAGAACACGGAGGAGAUGACUAUAGUGGACAGAGGUGGGGGCCGAAACAAACUGACUCAGGAUGUGGACAGGAUAGGAGAUGUCAGGACGCGUAACGGCAAGAUAGACAAGACUGCCAACAAGAUGACGAUAGUGUAACGCCCUCGAUGCGGCUAUAUCUCCCACGUGUCGAAGCACGACUUAGAGGCAUAACCGCAUUGAAAGCAAUGUCGCAAGUGAGGUAAUCUUCACACAACCCAUGUAAUACAUAAGGGAAAGAGAUACAUAGUUGGCUUACAAUCGCCACUUCACACAAUUACAUGAAUAAAGCAUUACAUCAACCAGAUACAAUCAAGGUCCGACUAUGGAACCAAAAUAAAAGAAGAACCCCAAAGCGACAAGGUCCCCGAUCGACCCCAACUGGGCUCCACUACUGAUCAACUAGAACGAAACAACAUAAAGGACAAGAUCUUCAUCGAGCUUCUCCUGAGCUUGGUUGCGUCAUCUGCACGGACUCAUCGGCACCUGCAAGCUGGUUUUGGAAGUAUCUGUGAGUCACGGGGACUCAGCAAUCUCACACCCUCGCGAUCAAGACUAUUUAAGCUUAUGGGUAAGGUAAAGGUAUGAGGUGGAGCUGCAGCAAGCGACUAGCAUAUAUGAUGGCUAACCUGUUCGCAAAAGCGAGCGAGAAGAGAAGGCAAAGCACGAUCGAUAAAAGUAUGAUCAAGAAGUGAUCCUAGAACAACCUACGUCAAGCAUAACUCCAACACCGUGUUCACUUCCCGGACUCUGCCGGAAAGAGACCAUCACGGUUACACACGCGGUUGAUGCAUUUUAAUUAAGGUAAACUUCAGGUUUUCUAUAACCGGACGUUAACAAAUUCCCAUCUGCCCAUAACCGCAAGCACGGCUUUCGAAAGUUCAAAUCCCUGCAGGGGUGUCCCAACUUAGCCCAUAACAAGCUCUCACGGUCAACGAAGGAUAUUCCUUCUAGCGGGAAGACCCGAUCAGGCUCGGAAUCCCGGUUACAAGACAUCCUCGACAAUGAUAAAACAAGUCCAGCAAGACCACCCGUUGUGCCGACAAUCCCGAUAGGAGCUGCACAUAUCUCGUUCUCAGGGCACACCGGAUAAGCUAAGCGUACGGGAGCCAACGUAACCCAAGUUGCCAAGGGACGGCCCCGCAUGGUGCUCUGGGUUGGACCAACACUUAGACAAGCACUGGCCCGGGGGUUUAAAAUAAAGAUGACCCUUGGGCUGGCCUAACCCAAGGGAAAAAGAGGCUAGGUGGCGAAUGGUAAAACCAAGGUUGGGCCUUGCUAGAGGAGUUUUAUUCAAAGUGAACUGUCAAGGGGUUCCCAUUAUAACCCAACCGCGUAAGGAACGCAAAAUCCGGGAACAUAACACCGAUAUGACAGAAACUAUGGCGGCAAGAGUGGAACAAAGCACCAGGCAUAAGGCCGAGCCUUCCACCCUUUACCAAGUAUAUAGAUGCAUUAAUUAAAUAAGAGAUAUUGUGAUAUCCCAACAAGUAAGCAAUGUUCCAACUAGGAACGAUCUCCAUGUUCCAACAAGGAACAAACUUCAAUCUUCACCUGCAACUAACAACGCUAUAUGAGGGGCUGAGCAAAGCGGUAACAUAGCCAAACAACGGUUUGCUAGGACAAGGUGGGUUAGAGGCUUGGUUUAACAACAUGGGUGGCAUGAUAAGCAAGUGGUAGGUAUCGCAGCAUAGGCAUAGCAAAAGAGCGAGCAACUAAGCAAGCAAAGAUAGAAGUGAUUUCGAGGGUAUGGUCAUCUUGCCUGAAAUCCCGCAAGGAAGAAGAACGAGUCCAUGAAGAAGACAAACGAAUGUAGUCGAGCGGGUCCUCACAAACGCGACGUUAACGGAACCAACCCGAAGAAGCAAACACCGGAAAGGAAGCACACAACAUAGUAAACAAACCACACAUGAAUAUGGUAUGAUAUGCGAGAUGCGGUAUGCGAUGCAUAUGCAUGAUUUGACAAGAGAUGAAUGAACCUGGCCUCAACUUGGAAAUCCAAGUGUGCCACUGAAAAGAUGAGAUGAAAUCGCUUGAAAACGAUAUAAAGAUCGCCGGAAUCGGAGUCACGGUUUGGAAAUGGCAAGCAAUUCAAAUAUGGCACCGGUCUGCGAUUUACAGCAAGUAGUCAACUAAAUGCAAUGAGAUGAACAUGCUACAGCACCCAAACAUGGCAUAAAAAUGCAUGGCAGGAAUUCAUUCAUGAUGCUUAACAAAAGACUAGCACUGAGCUACGGCCAAUUCCUCCAUUAACAUGUUCAAACAAGCAUGGCAAAAGUGCAAACGGUAAAUAGAUCUCAGACUUAGUGAAAUUAACAAUUGUCUGAAAUUUCAGAUCAGGUAACACACUCUGAAGCAUGAAAACUAGAUACUACAAGAACUGAACAUGGCAAAGCAAAGCAUGGCAUGGAGCUACUCAAAGAGCUUAACAAAAGUCCCUUAGUGACCUUGAGCCAAAAGGGAUCAGAAAAUACAAUUGCAAGCAUGUGAACAUGGCAAAAACAUAAACAGAUCACAAACUUAGAGAAAAACCGGAGUAUGCAAAUCAGAUAUCAAGUAGGCAUGUUUACGAGCUCGAUGCACUCACUACAGAGCAAGGCAUGACAAUCUAAGCAUACACCCAUCAAAAAUACACAUUAUACAAGCUAGACAUGGCAAGAACAAUAACAUAGCAUGCACGGAUCAACUACAACAUCCUUGGCAAAAUCGCUAACAAGUAGACAAUCUGCCCAGAUUCAUGAAAUAGCAAAAGUAGAGCUCGAUUGGCUCAAGUUAGGGUGCUCCAUAAUUGCAAAAAAAGACAUGGAUGGAUAGAGCACUACAAGAUUAACAAAUCAUCCUUACUGAUCAUCCUCAAAAGAGGCACGGAUCACUAGGAAACAACAAGAACAUAUGGCAUAAUGAGAUAAACAGACCAAGGACUUAGUGGAAUUGCUAAGUCCCUGAAAUCAGCAUUAACAAAUGCACCACUUUGCAAGCUUGUGCUAGUCACCACACACAUCACAAAAAUACAUGGGUUGCACCUCUGGAUAGAUGACAAAACAUAUAACAAAACUCAUGUAGAGCACCUGGGCAUAUCAUGCACACAAUAAUCAUGGCAAAAAUGACAAAUAUCUAAAUGGAGCAGCAGAUCUGACAAUUAUCUCAAGUAGCCUACUUCCAACAGCAUUUCAGGCAUCAAGAUGAACUCAAAUGAAAAUGAUGCAAUGAGAUGAAAUGAUGUGCUUUCUGAGACGAACAUUUUGAUAUGCUAUAUGCCCAAAACGGAGCUACGGAUGCAGAGUUACGGCAUGUCAAAGUAGGCAAGAAAAAUUAGGGUUAGAGGAGAAAAAGUCAACCGAGGCAAACGGAUCUCAGAUCCAGAUCGGGCCGAUACUGUAGCACACACGCACUUCGAGGUUGAACGGAGGGGAUCGCCGGAGUUGGUCGAGGUGGCCGGAGAAGGUGGGGUCCGGGCCGGAUCUUGCCGGAUCCGGCCGGAUCUGGCGGCCGGAAGGAGCAGCGCGGCGGGNNNNNNNNNNNNNNNNNNNNNNNNNNNNNNNNNNNNNNNNNNNNNNNNNNNNNNNNNNNNNNNNNNNNNNNNNNNNNNNNNNNNNNNNNNNNNNNNNNNNNNNNNNNNNNNNNNNNNNNNNNNNNNNNNNNNNNNNNNNNNNNNNNNNNNNNNNNNNNNNNNNNNNNNNNNNNNNNNNNNNNNNNNNNNNNNNNNNNNNNNNNNNNNNNNNNNNNNNNNNNNNNNNNNNNNNNNNNNNNNNNNNNNNNNNNNNNNNNNNNNNNNNNNNNNNNNNNNNNNNNNNNNNNNNNNNNNNNNNNNNNNNNNNNNNNNNNNNNNNNNNNNNNNNNNNNNNNNNNNNNNNNNNNNNNNNNNNNNNNNNNNNNNNNNNNNNNNNNNNNNNNNUCGGGCCCGAUCCGGCCCGGGGCGGGCUCCCCGUGGACCGAGCGGGCCGCGGCGGCGGUGGGUGGCGGCGUGCCACGUGUUGCGCGCCGAUUGGCACGAGCGCGGCAGCGGGAUUCGUCCGGCGCGCGGAUGGAGCGGGGCUAGGGUUUUGAGGAAGGAGAGACCCGAAAUUUCGGAGGAGGGGCUAGUUUUAUAGGUAGAGGGAGCUAGCAGUGUCCAAAUGAGGUGCGGUUUUUGGCCACGCGAUCGUGAUCGAACACUCUAGAUGAUGGAGAGGGUUUUGGUGGGUUUUGGGCCAAAUUGGAGGGGUGUUAGGCUGCAACACGCACGAGGCCUUUUCGGUCCCUCGGUUAACCGUUGGAGUAUCAAACAAAGUCCAAAUGGUACGAAACUUGACAGGCGGUCUACCGGUAGUAAACCAAGGCCGCUUGGCAAGUCUCGGUCCAAUCCGGAAUUGUUUAAUCGCCACACACGAAAGAAAGGUAGAAAGGGACACCGGGUGACAUAGGAGCGCCGGAUUGCAAAACGGACAACGAGGAAAAUGCUCGGAUGCAUGAGACGAACAUGUAUGCAAAUGAAGUGCACAUGAUGACAUGAUAUGCAAUGCAUGACACGCAAGCAAUGACAAGGCAACAACAGCGAAUAACUGCACGACACCUGGCACAUCAGUCUCGGGGCGUUACAGAUAGCGAGUGGGAUUAGGAAGAGGGUCACCAUCAGAGGCACGAAGUUGAACGUUGAGCUCCAUAGGAGUCACAACAGUACGCUCAUUACCAAGAGCAGCGCGAGCAAGAAGAUCCUAAAUAUAUUUUUCUUGGGAGAUGUAGAAGCCAUCAGAGGUUGAGGAGAUCUCAAUCCCAAGAAAGUAGCGAAGUGGACCAAGAUCAGUCAUGAGGAACUGAUCGCGAAGGCGAGCCUUAACAAAGGCAAUAUAGUCAAGGUCGUCACCAGUGAUGAUCAUGUCAUCAACAUAGAGGAGAAGAGUCCGACCACGAGGAGACGUGUGAACAAACAACGCGGGAUCAUGAUCACUGGGCAAGAAACCAGCUGCAGUCACCACAGAGGCGAAGCGCUCAAACCAGGCACGAGGGGCCUGUUUAAGACCAUAGAGGGAGCGGCGAAGUCUACAGAGCAUACCAUCAGGAGCGUAGUACCUCGGUGGUGGCUACAUAUAAACCUCCUCACGCAACUCACCAUUGAGAAAAGCAUUCUGAACAUCAAGUUGAGAGAUAGACCACUGGCGAACAGAAGCCACAUCAAGAAGAGUGCGGACGGUGGUCAUGUGGGCCACAGGAGCAAAUGUCUCAUCAUAAUCGCGCCCCUUCUCCUGCUAAAAACCACGGGCCACAAGACGAGCUUUGUAGCGCUCAAGAGAACCAUCGGAGCGAGUCUUAACCUUGUAGACUCACUUGCAAGUGAUGGGACGGACACCGGAAGGGAGGGGAACCAGAUCGCAUGUGCCAGAGCGCUCAAGAGCAGCAAGCUCUUCGGCCAUCGCAAGUUGCCAUUCAGGCUGAAUCAUGGCAGUGCGGUAGGAAGUGGGCUCAGCAAUAGCAGAGAGACCAUACCGAUCAGGGGAGUAGCGAUCAGGUAGGGGGCGAGGCCGAGCACGAAGGUUGUGAACCAGGGGAGGCGUGAGAGGAGGUGCACCAGAGGUGGAAGGCUCGUCAGAGGAGACAUCCUCAGUACGAGAUCGGCGAGUAUAGUGGAGAGGAAAUGGUGAGAGAGGGCGACGGACUGGAGAUGAAGGUGAAGAGGUGGAGGAGGAGGAUGGAGAAGACGGUGUCGGUGGGGAAUGAGAAGGAAUGAGAGGUGCCGGAGGAAGAGGUGACACAUGAGGCACAUAGCCGGGUGUGUCAGGAAGGAGCAGGAAAGAAAUGUUGUCCACAGAGAAGCUCGAGGAAGAAGAACGUGGGUAGUAAGAACAAGACUCGUCAAAAGUCACAUCACGCGAGAUGCGCAAGCGACGACCCACAUGAUCCCAACAUCGAUAGCCCUUGUGCUCAUCACUGUAGCCAAGAAAGACACACUCAACCGACUGAGCAGUCAGUUUGGUGCGUUCUCGUGGGGCAAGAAGGACAUAACACACAUAUCCAAACAUCCGAAGAGCGGAGUAGUCAGGGGAACGUCUAGUGAGACACUCCAUAGGAAUACCACCCUGCAAAGCAGUCGAUGGCUGAAUGUUGAUGAGAUAAGUGGAUGCAGAAACAGCCUCAGCCCAAAAGUGAGGCGGAAGGGAAGCGGCAAUCAUCAGCGCACGAGCCGUUUCAAGUAGAUGACGAUGCUUACGUUCGGCAACGCCGUUUUGAGCAUGAGCACCAGGACAUGAGAACUGGGCAAGAGUACCCUGUUCCGCAAGAAAACCACGCAACAGCUGAGAGAUAAACUCACCAACGGAGUCAGCACGAAAAGUAUGAAUGGGCAUGGAAAACUGGGUGCGAACCAUGGCAGCAAAACGUUUGUAUAUAGAGAGAACCUCGUUACGAGAUUUCAUGAAGUAGAGCCAGGUGUAGUGAGAGAAAUCAUCAAUAAACAAGAUAUAAUAGCGAUGACCACCUUUCGAAUCAAAGGGGGCAGGACCCCAAACAUCAGAAUGAACCAAGUCAAAAGGACGCUGAGAUACCGACUCACUGGUAGGAUAAGGCAACUGGGUCUGUUUGCCAAGUCUGCAACCAUUACAAUGUAAAGAAAAAUCUCCAGAUACAGACCCCAAGAGGCCCUGACAAACUAAGGAAGACAAGCGAGAGCCACAGAUGUGACCAAGGCGAUGAUGCCACUGCUGGAAGGACGCAGGCGAAGAGGCAGCAAGAGCAUGGGAGCUGGAAGGAGUGGUGGCAGUGGAAGGAACACGAAGCCAGUCAACCUCCCAAAGGCCCUCCGACUCACGGCGCCGGGGGCCAGCACCAACCAAAGCCUUGGUGCGUCGAUCCUGAAUGGAGCAAGAGUCGGCAUCAAGGAUGACACGACAACCAGAAUCAGUAAGUUGGGUAGCAGAAAACAGAUUCAUGGUAAGACGAGAAACAUGUGAAACACUAGGAACAGAAAAAGAGGAAGUGGAAAGAAGACCACGAGUAGCAACAGAAAGAGGUGUGCCAUCGGCGGUAAGAACAUUAACAGACGAAUCAAGAGGUCGGAGAGAAGACAACACAGAAGAAUCGGAAGACAUAUGGAAGGAGGCUCCAGAAUCCAAAACCCACGAAGAUGUACCUGACUGUGUAGAUUCUUGCGGUGGUGGAGAAGUGGCUGCAGUCACAGCAGCAGCUGAGCCAGUCGACGAAGAGCCUGAGGAAGCCAGGAGGCGUUUGAGCCUCAAAAUGUCCUGGUCAGUGAGUGACGGAGUCGAGGAAGAUCCAGGAGUCCCACUGGAAGAGGAGCGCCGCUGGUCUCGCUUCUUCUCACGGCAAUCAGACUCUGGGUGACUGGGCCGAGAGCAGUAGCCACAGAAGGUGUCACGGCGCGACCGACCCCUCUUAGUAUAAGCAGGGCGACUCACCCCCCCUGAAGGUGUGGGGAGGAGCGGUGGAGCGGUGAGCCGAGCAGACGACACAGGAGCCCGAGCAGCCAACACAAACGAGACCAUCACCAGACCAGCAGAGUGAAGGCGGGUCUCCUCAGCACGAAGCUCAGCAAGCACCUCCGAGAUUGGAACACGACCACGAGCAAGCAAGUGAGCAUGUCUGGGCUCAAACUCAGAGUGGAGACGAGAUAAGAACUCAUGGACCCGCUGAAAGUCCAGAUCUGACCGAUUAGUCUGACAGCAACGACAGGUGCCAUAAACAACUGUCCGAAGAGAGUCAAGCUGACGCCAGGUGGUAGAGCACUGUGAAUAGAACUCAUCAACAGAGGAAUCACCUUGCUGGAGGGCGUGCUCCUGACGUACCACAGAGAGAUAGAGAGUAUCACCAGAGGGCUGAUAGCGCUGACAAAGAUAAGACCACAUCGCUGCAACUAUGCCAAGUCCCAUGAACUCCGAAUCAAACUGAGGGAGGACACUGGCAGUAAGAACAGCAGCAGCACAAGCAUCGUCAUUGCACCACUGAGUGUAAGCAGAGAGAUCAUCCCGGUACGCCAAAAGAGCAUCGAAGUAAGCAGAUACCUGCUGAUCAUAGGCAUCAACUGCAGCAUCAUCAAGGGCCUUGGCGGCAUCCCGGUCAGCCUCGGAAGCCUCAGCAGCAAGUACCGGCGGCACCGGUGGGAUUGGGGCCACAGGCGCAACAAGACAUGGCGGGCAGGGAACCUCGCCAGAAAAAACACCCCACAGAAGAAGACCACGCAUAUGGAUGCACGUGAACCCCACAAACUCAGCAUAGUUGGUGCCAUCGAAGAUCACGGAGCACCUAGGAACUGCAACAUAGCCCGAGGAAGACAUGGGGGAACUCUCUGUUUCUCCCUUUUUUUUCUUUUUGGUUAACGCUCCCCGAUCUGGAUCGGGGCGGAAAAACUCACGCUAGCCCCGAGUGGGGAAUCGGGAGGCCAGGAGGAGAGCCGGCCCUGGGCCGCAGCUGCGGCAGCAGAUGAAGCAACGGCAGCUGCAGCCAGAUGCGGAGGAGGGCGGCCUGGGCGCGGGCGGCCAGAGACACGGCCGGGGCGCGCUGAAGGAGGUGCGGUCGGGGCGCAGCCAGGGCGUAGGCGGAGCGCGGCUUGGGCGCGGCGGGGGCAAGGCCAGGACGCGGUAGGGGCGAGGCCAGGGCGCGGCCUGGGAGCGGUCGGGGCGAGGCCUGAACGCAGCCGGGCGGGGAGGGCGCGCCCUGGGCGUGGAUGAGCUCGGCGGGCGCAGUCAGGGGCUGCCGGGCGUGGAGAAGGUGGCCGGCAACGAGGAAGGAGAUGGCCGGCGACGGGGAAGCUAGGCACGGAGUUGCAGCGUGCGGAAGAGGAAGAGGAACCUAGCAACUGAUACCAUGUUGGAUAAGUGAGCAACUAAGCUUUACGAAGGGCCAAUGGCCAGUACAUAUAUAGAUGUGGUAAAGUGCAGAAAAGUCUCUUAUACAAUGUGGAUGUACACAAUAAACUAUACACAUCUAACAGUUACCUCGUCAGCUUGCAAGUCUGAACCGUGUUCUACUCAUCGGCAAGUGGCCUGGUUUGUGAAAUAGUACCACCGACAUUUACUCAUUUACCAAUAAGAAUGGUGGAAUGGUCCAUUCUAAGAAGACCGUAAGUCAACGCUGACGCUAAAAAUAAAGAUAAACCACACAUAUGAAAUUAUGUGCUCAAUUUUCUUUGUUCUGGAAGUGAACCUUAUUUUGCACAAUUAUUCGGUGUUUCUACAUGUUUUCUUAACAUUCCUGUAUUUUUAAGCAACUAUUUUGAGCUCAAAAAUUCUUUCAAGGAAAUUAAGCAAUUGCUGAUGAGAUUAAUGUUUGCUGACAUGCCUUGUGGCCAAUUUAAGAUGCGUCCACCAUUAGGAUUAUUCGGCACCACGUGUAUCCUUUCACUCAUAUUACUAUCAUUUUCCUCUAAAAGAAAAAAAAUUAAGGCAUGUGUUUCCCAACAGGUUUUAUUUUAUUUACAGUAGAAUGUCUUGAUUGCAACUUUUGCCAACUUUGCUACUUUACCGUUGAACUAAAGGAAAGAAAAUGAGCUGUUUUCACCACCCUUGUUGUUGGCUUACAUUUGUAAAUUUGAACAUCUUGAUGUACAUUUAUGCUAUGCAGUGAUAGCUUAAAACUGAAUAACUGUUUAGUAAAGGCACUGAAGAUUACUGACAACUUUGGACCUAGUUCCCCAGAGACCGUGUGACAAAUUGCUGGACUCAUGAGAUCUUGAUGUUUCAUUGGCCACACUCAUGAGAUCGUGUGACAGAUUGCAGGAUUUGUGCAACAUGCAUGGAUUGUAUCCUUACACAGUAAUUUUAAAGCAGUUACUUUCAGAACCGUCCUUAAAUGUUUGGCAGCAGCGAGUUACUAGUUUUAUUGUCAAUUUAUAUAGAGGUAGUGCUAAUUAAAAUUAGCAUUUUUUUAAUAGUAUCCACUAUUGGCAACCACUUAUCAUUUAUUUUUAUGAGAAACAGAACUUCAGCAUUUGUGACAUUCGUUGAGGGAUGCUAGAUAAGCAUCACUCAUCUAUUGGAAAAGACUCAGAGGCCUAUAAGCAAACCUUUUUAGCUUAGCUGCACAUCGCAUGUUUGAGGGCUAAUCCAUUCCGUUAUUACUUCAGCAGGUUGCGACAUCAACAAAAGGCGCUGUACCUCUGUUGGUGGCAUGUAACAAUUUGCCAUCUCAAUCAGAAUCAUGUCUCUGGACAGUUUGUUACAAGGCUCCUAUCCCCUUUGGAAACUGCAUGCCUCAACUGAAGAAAAGAACUAUCAUUUCUCUCAACCACUCUCAUGACACCAGAAUUUCUGUUCUGUUGUAUGCUUCUCUGACAGCAGUUGUUACCGUGCUCGUCUCCUUGGAGCCAGACAGAUAGCCAGCCAGCCAAGAGUGCCCAGAAAGCUAGCAUCCCUGCUUCAGCGCCACUCCUGCAGAUUUUUCUACGCGGGUAUUGGGAGUUUUCUGUAACUUAGGUGGCAAGUCAUGGUUCUUGCUUGUUGCUACUGGGAAACUGGUUGCUUGGGGCUAGCUGCUGGUGGCCAGUGUGCUGUUGAAGUGGAAGCAAAGAAACCAGCGGCCACUCCCCUCCAUAUAAACCCCCGGGAGUUUGUGGAUGUUUCUUGCAGCCCAGAUCCUUGAGGAAGCAGCACGUCCAUGGCCUCUGAUCGCGUCGAGGUCGACACCGCCCGCCCUUUCCGGUCCGUGAAGGAGGCGGUCGCGGUGUUCGGGGAGCGCAUCCUCGUCGGCGGGAGCAACUCCAGAUACAGCAGCAGUGCGGUUGCCAUUGCCGACGCGCAUGCCAAUGCCACCCCUAACGCCAAGCACGAAGAUAGCAGUAGGAGCAGUACCACCACCCUUUCUCCAAAUGCAAUGGCAGAGGUAGAUGCGGAGCUAGAGCCAGAGGCAACGGCAGCUAUCGUGCCUAUGUACUCCGCGCACUCCUCGCCGUCGUUCACGUCGCCGCGUUCGGCGUACGGCGACGACGGCGAGCUUGGUUGCCAAGACGACGAGGCCGGGCUCGCGGUCGUGAGCUCCAUCAAGAAGCUGGAGGCGGAGGUGGCCGAUACGAGACGGGAGGUGCUGCAGCUCAGGAAGAGGGGCACCGAGAUGGAGAUGGCCGUGGCCAGCCUCAACGCGCAGCUCCACCGAGGCCUCUCGAGGCUGGCCGAGAUCGAGGCCGACAAGGCUGCUGCGGCGGCGGCACGGCGCAGCAUCGGCGGGGACACCGACGUGAUGGCGGCGGCCAUGGUGCGGAGCGAGCGGUGGGCCGAGAAGUCCAGCACGUACAGCAGCGAGUACCUGCCGUCCUUCAGCCACGCGCUGAGCCUCGGCGAGAUCGACGACGACCUGCUCGGCGGCAGGAGGAGGAAGGCGCAGAAGGUGAAGCCCAUCGUGCCCCUCAUCGGCGACAUCCUCUUCUCCAAGAGUUUCUCCAGGAGGAAGAGCGGCAAGGACAGCGGGGAUCUCUCCAGCGUGUUAGGGUGAUCAUCACUUUUGCUUGCUGCGUGCUCAGGUUGUGGCUGCUUGCGUUGCGUGUGGUUUGGAUGGAGCAUGUGCUUUUUUUGGUCCUUUCUUUCUCUUUGGUCGGGGUUUUUCAUUUUUCUUUGUGCUCUUGUUUGUGCGAGCCUGUAAAUGUAAAAUACUGAUGAAUGCUUGUAUCUACUCCCUCUGUCUCAAAAUGUAAGAGUGUCAAAAAUGAUGUUAUAUUUUGGGACAGAGGGAGUGUGUGUUAGGUGAUAACUAUUCACAUAGCUGUUUUCGGCCUUAUACAAUGCUAGGUGCCUAAGGAGGUGCUUAAAAAAAUAAACUGAAUUUUUCUAAAGCACCGUGCUUAAUUAAGCGUAUGCUCUAUACAAAUAAGCACCGGUGUUUAAGAAAAGCCUGGUUUAUUUGUUCAAACACCUCUUCUAAGCACCUUGCAUUAUACAAGGUUUUAGAGUAGAGUUGUUUGGCUAUCGCAGUUUUUUCAAGCCGUUUGCCACGCUUUUUAAAUAAAGCCAUGUGAUCGAACCUGGUCAAUAAAAACACAACACAACAAAUCAGACAUGCUAAAAAGCGCAAAAGUGCACAACUAGACUUCCCUAGAAUGCCACCAACAAUAAGCACGUGAUAUAACCUGAACAUGCAAGAAAAAUGACACACCGUGCCGCCGUCGCGUCCGCCUUAAAAGAACAAGAGUUACCACCGUUAGUGCUGGCAAAAAAGGGUUGCCAGACCAAUCAAGGCGACGCUCCAAGAGGGACAUGACACCUGCAAGCAUUAUCACCAUCGUCAGCAUGGACGAAGCUUUCGCUCGAUACCUCCUGCACACCUCUCCUAAAGGACCCAAACCACCGUGGUCCCCAAAGGGGAACAACCCUGUCGAAUGGGCACUGGCCCAUAUAAGGGAAGACCACACCACUCCAAUACCACUUGCCACCAUGCACCUAGCCAUUCACAUGACCAAAGAAUGCAGACAACACCGCUGCAACAGUGCUUGCUAGAGAGCCAAAUGCGCAGUCUGCCACCAAGGGCCACUCCCUAUCAUCUACAACCAUAAUCCCGAACAUCGAGCCACACCUGCAACCGCCAACCACCAGGAGAAAAGGGCGGGAAACCCUUCCUUCCCCGCCACAUGACAACCUCCAACCGAGGACACACCGACGAGCCUGGUCGGAUCUAGAUGAAGGUACCCCCCCCCCCAACCCAACGGUCAUGAGCCACCACAUCGGCAACAACCGACAGGCUUCAAAUUGGGCCCACCACCUAUGGCUGGAUCUAGGGAACGUAUCUAGUGCACCAGGGCAAUUGGUGAUACCGGUGCACCGGACUCUGACGCACAUCCAAAAAU